GGCGUGAGCCACUGCGCCUGGCCCCUCGUUUUUUAUUUUCUUUACUUAUUUUAUUUUCACAAACAUGGAGUGCUUCUUAAAUGCCAGAUUCUGUGUAAUCACUUUAAUUUAUGGAAUCCUCUUAACCCAAUGAGGUAAGUAUCAACAUCAUUCCCAUGUUUCAGAUGGAAACUAGAGCAAGAUGGGGGUCAGUAAUCAACCCAAGACAACCACACAGGGUGAGUCCUGGAGGCAGGAUUAGAACCAAGGCUGGCUCAGGAGCUCCUGCAUUCAAGCUGCACACUAUGUCCCUGGCUCUUCCUUGUCUGGGGUAGAACUGCAGGAGACACACGUGCGUUCUGCUACAGUUCAGGCUGCUUAGGAACAGCCAUCAGUUUUCAUCAGUUCCUCUUCUGAAGUUUUUAGGGAAGGCAUUCUAAAUAUGUGACUAGCUGAGACAGCAUUACCAACCUGGUCUCGCCUGGUGUGGGAAUCACAGGAAAGCAGGCUUGUUCAGAAGGAAGCUUCUCCUGUAUUGGAGGAGGGCUCUGUGAUACCCCAGGUGCUGGGGUGCAGGGAAGAGAGCAGGGAUGGUGUGGGGAGAACAAGUUCUGGAUCCAGUGGAACUACUCACUUGCUAGGUGACUUUCUGAAAUGUCCCUUAACUUCUGUGGGGAGUGUUUGGGUCUACAAGAUGGGAACAUUAUUAUUUUAGCUAGUGACCUCAGGAGUGUCAGAAAGGAGGCAGCUAGUAUUCCAAAGGGCAUAUAUUACAGGUAAGUCACUAUGCUAGAUAUUUUCACAUUUCCCCUAUUGAAGCAAUAACCAUGGGAAGAUAAAAAUCAUGAUCAGGGAGGCUGAGGCAGGCAGAUCACCUGAGAUCAGGAGAUCGAGACCAGCCUGGCCAACAUGCCAAAAUCCCGUCUCUACUAAACAUAUAAAAAGUUAGCUGGGCAUGGUCGUGGGCGCCUGUAAUCCCAGCUACUUGGAGGCUGAGGCAGGAGAAUUGCUUGAACCUGGGAGGCAGAGCUUGCCGUGAGCCGAGAUCGCACCACUGCACUCCAGCCUGGGCGACAAGAGCAAAACUCCGUCUCAAAAAUCAUCAUAGAUAGGAAAGUGUUUUAGAAAAUUGGGUGCUUUGCAAAUAUAAGGAAUUCUUAUGAUAAAAAGUAUGUUGCAUUAUACUAGAUAAUAAAUAAUAAGAAGCCUAUCGUGACGUAUUUUAAGUGGUUAUGGACUGUAUUCCCAAAAUGAGAUAGACAGUGAAAAAUGGAUUCUGUAUAAUGCAUCAAAUAGAUUUUGGAAGAGUGGAGUGCGAGAGGAAAUAUCCAGUGUCUGCAUACAGUAGGGGAUCAAUAAAUACUUCAUUAGAAGUGGAUAAUAGAGAAUGGCUUCAGGGCACAGCCAUGAACCUAAGUCGUAAGCCCUUUUCCUCUCCCACGAGUGUGUACUUAGGACUGAAGGCUACACUACAUUACCCAACAGUUGCUAGUCUUCACUCCUUAAUCCUUUUCUUUUAAAAUUGUAUUAAUUACUCACUUCUGGAAUGUGUAAUAUGCUUCAGUCUUGGUUCUAGAUAUAAGAAUAUGUUUGAAAGUUUAAGAAAUGAUGGUAUUUCAAUUAGAGGAAAGAGAUGGGGAUUUCAGGCUGAAACAGAGAUUCACAUCCCUCGAUUUGACAAAGUAAUAAUUGACUCGAGAGUCCAGGGCCUUCUGAAAAGGUGGCCUUCACUAAAAACAAAAUGUUAUCCCAUAACCCAAUAAACUUAGGUACAACUCAAUGUGCGCUAAAGUAAUUUUAGAAACCAUCAUUUCAUUUCAGCAGUAAAUGCAGCUCAAAGUGGUAUGAAUUCCCCAUUAAGAUGAUAUGGUAGGGAGAGUGAAAGAAUCUUUCAGUACAAUCCAUUUAUUUUAGUGUCCCAAAUGUUCAUAGCAACAGGAGCAAACGUGGUUGCAGCUGCCAUUAUGGUCAGCCUCCUGUCACCGUGGGAAAUGGAUGGCCUCUCCUUAGCCACCAACCUGCACUGCCUCCACAACAGAGGAUUCAUCAGUGUUCUCCAGAGAGUGGAAUAGAAAUCACAUUUGGGUGUGUUGCAAAUUAAACUUUUAAUAGAAAACCCAAGAAAGAAGCUUUGCACAUUUAUUUUAUGGGUUACUGCUUUUGGAGAAGGAAAAGAGAUUGGAAGUAGGAUAGUGCAGUUAAGACUGGUUGACCCGUUCUUUGAAAAUCUUCCUUUUGGAAUAUUUGCAUGCUUCCUGAAACUUGAGGUUUCUUUUCCAUUUCACUCUGGUUUUCUCAUUAUUUUCCAAAUAAUCACCAGAAAUGACUUCUUCACGAUUAUUCUUUCUCCUCACAAACACUUCUGAGGCUUCUGAGCCAUACCUUGUAUAGGACAUGCCAGGAUUCAUUUGUUAUUUCUGACCUUUGAAAAAGAAAUCAUGGAGCACAGACAAGGUAGUGCAGACAACCUUUUCUUCAAAGGAGAAUGGUCCAUUUAUAUGGCUACUAAACUGCUAAUGUCUUUACUUUAAAAUAGUAAAUAAAACUGACAUUAAGUUAUGACAGAUUAAAAAUCAGGCAAAAUAAUUUGAUCUUUAUUUCUUCCACAAGGAGAAACAAAUUUGUUUUAUAUUUUAUUUAAUCUUCCCUUUUCUCUGGCUAUCCUAUUUUUGUAAAUGAAAAAGAAAAUAUUUAGUCAUAUGGCCUUAGAAUUAUUAAAAGGUGACAAAUGUAAAGAAUGGUUCAACUUCUGGGAUUAAAAAAACCUUUUAUUUAUAUCUAUGGAAUUACAGAAUUAACAAGGCAUGGACUAAUUUCUGCCCAGGCAUGUAGAGUCGCAAAGUUAUGGCAUAUUUCAGCUGGCAUAAUUCAUGUGAUAGGUGACACCUAAUUAGAAAAGAUAAUAUUGGAACUCAGUUCUGCUAGCCUCUUGCAGACUUGCAAGAAUGGAGAAGAGGGAAGUGUACUAGGGAAUGCUAACUGCUGUCAGAGAUAAACUGAAAUCUCAGCAACUUAACUAAUAAAAUCUGAUUUCUUGCCAAUAUGAAGUUCUAAGAAGGUGUUCUUGAUUUCCUGGAAGUCCAAGACAUUAUGUGGCCUUCCAUGCAGCUGGUCACUCAGGGAGCCAGGCUGCUUCUAUCUCCAAUUCUUCAUUCAGGAGGCAGAUGGGGAAGAGGCUGAAAGUUGCAGGUGGUAGGUUAAUAAAGGCCAUGACUGAGCAGCCAUCACUUACACCUACAUGUAAUUCACUGGUACUUUAAGUCUCAUGACUGUAAUAAGCCCAAAGAAGGCUGGAAAAUGUAAUUCAGCUGUGUUCUCAGGAGAGCGAGGAAAUGGGUUUAGUAGUCAGCUCACCUAGUCUCUGGCACAGGGAGCAAAGUCCCUGAGUAUCAGGAAUGAUAAAGUAGAGCUUGAAGGAAGAUUCAGGAGUUGGGUCAAUUUACAGCAGAAGAGGAAGCUGUGAAGAGGUAAUAAAAAUGUUCACUAUUGUCAUGAACUAAUGUAUGGCAAUUCCCAUUGUUCCAUGCCCUAGCCUGCAUCAUAAUUGUUAGAAAUUUCCAAUUUAAUUUAUUGUAAAGAUUUUUUAAUGGAAUUGAUACACUGUGGCAGUGAAAACAGGAUUUUCUGUAUAGCCAGCAUUGCGAAAACACAUCCUGUUGGUGAACACAUACAUCAAUUAAAAUGUCACCCAUGGCUCACACCUGUAAUCUGAGCACUUUGGGAGGCCGAGGUGGGCAGAUCACGAGGUCAGGAGAUCAAGGCCAUCCUGACCAACAUGGUGAAACCCCGUGUCUACAAAAAAUGCAAAAUAAAUUAGCUGGGUGUGGUGAUGCAUGCCUGUAAUCCUAGCUACUUGGGAGGCUAAGGCAGGAGAAUCGAUUGAACCCAAGAGGCAGAGGUUGCAGUGAGCCAAGAUUGCGCCACUGCACUCCAGCCAGGCGACAGAGCAAGACACUGUCUCAAAAAAAAAAAAAAAAAAAAAAGCUACCUAAUGUUAAAUGACGAGUUUAAUGGGUGCAACACACCAACGUGGCGCAUGUAUACAUAUGUAAGAAGCCUGCAUGUUGUGCACAUGUACCCUAAAACUUAAAGUAUAAUAAAUAAAUUUUUUAAAAAAGCCACCCAAAGAUAGGUAAACAUUACUGCAUGGGCAAUGUAUAUUCCUACCUGUAAGUAAUGAGUUAUCAAGGGAAUUAUUACAGAAUCAAAUUUCUCAUUUCCAUUUUUAAUUUUUCAGUAAUAUAACUAUGUAAGAGAAAAUUUAGAAAAUACAACAGGUUAAUAUUUUCUUUAAUCUGUGUUCUAGUCCACAAAGUCAGCUGACUUUUUGUUUUUUUCUUUUCUGAUUUUUUAAAAAAGAAAUAUAGAUGCAUGCAGAACAGAAACAGAAUAAUUGUACUUAUAUUUCACCUGCAGUUUUGAAUUUUGGUCAAUAAUAAUUAGAAAAGUUAUUCUUCCUGCUCAGUAUUCAUUGCAGUGGCCUCACCACACCAGUAGAAGAAAGAAAAUCUUUGGUAAAAUUGUCCUAUUCUCAAAGUGGACUCUUUGGUGAUUUGUUGUAGCCUCCCUCUCUCUGAAUGUAAUGGUAACAGCUUUAGAGUCUAUGGUAACUAGACAUCAUCAUCCUCUUAAUCUUACCAAGAGGAAGUAUAGUUAAAACAAGUGUUUUAAAAAAAAUAAAAUCUUUUAGUUUUUAUAACAUUUUUAAACAAAAUUAUAAUUUUCCUUUUAUGUAUACCCAGUACCAUCCCUUUUAAACCUAACUUCAUGAGCAUUUUCUUUUUUUUUUUUUCAAAUUCCCUAUUCUGAGAAGCACUCGUGAGCAUUUUCCCAUGCCAUUAAACAUUCUUCAAAUUGAGUUGUUGAUAGCUGUAUAAUAUGCCAUAACGUGGCCAUGCCUGCAUUGAAUCAGCCAUUCUCCUAUAACCGAGCACUCAGGUUGCUUCCAGGUUUUUCUUUGCUCUAAAUAACUCUGUGAUAAAUGGUAGAGUAAAUGAUUCUGUGCAUUUCUACAUCCUUUCUUUUCUUCUUCUUUUUCUUUCUUUCUUUUUUUUUUUGAGAUGGAGUUUCACUCUUGUUGCCCAGGCUGGAGGGCAGUGGUGUAAUCUCAGCUCACUGCAACUUCUGCCUCUCGGGUUCAAGUGAUUCUCCUGCCUCAGCCUCUCAAGUAGCUGGGAUUACAGGCACGUGGCAUCAUACCCAGCUAAUUUUUGUAUUUUUGGUAGAGAUGGAGUUUUGCCAUGUUGGCCAGGCUGGUCUCGAACUCCUGACCUCAGGUGAUCUGCCCACCUCAGCCUCCCAAAGUGCUAGGAUUACAAGUGUGAGCCACCAUGCCUGGCCCAUUUUUACAUCCUUUUUUACCAUAAAUUGCUCGGGUGAUGUUAGGAGGUUAAAGGAAAUGAGUACUUCUCAAGGUUUUGUUGCUUAUUGUCAGCUUCCUGACCUUUAGUAUGCUGAACCCUUUUGCUGUAGUGAUUCUGAAUGUCCCCUCCCAACCCGAGCAUCAUGUUUUUCAAAGCUUUGCUGUGAUGAUCAAAAUAUCAAAACUUGAAAUGAAGGCAGAAUUUAACCCUACACUUGCACAAUAUGAUCUCACUCACUCACUCACUCACCUAUUUUGUCUUUAUUUCAAAUUUUGAUAUUUUGUACCUUGUGAACUAUUUUUGCAUUAAUCAAAAAUAUAUUGUUUUAAAAUGUUAUCUUGAUUACCGAGUUUUUUGGCACCCCUUUAAAUUUGGGGGCUGGGUGAGCGCCCCUUUCACUUCAUCUGUAUCCUGGCCAUUUUAGAAUCCUGGUGAGUUGGAACAUUCUAGAAUGCCCAGGGACAUUCUAAUAUCUGAGAAAAAAACAUCUUAGGACUUAGAUUACUAAGCUUAUGAAAGAUCAAAGACGAUCAAGAGCUAGAGGGCCACACAAGACCUGCUGUGGGGUGGUUCACAAAUGGCUGAAAAUGGACAGGCCAAGGAGGGCCCAUGCUGGCUGAUGGCAGAUAAUGGUGGUAUCAGAACUUGCUUUGAAGCUUUUGCAACAAGACGUUCUAUUCUCCUGAUGCACAUGCUUCACAAAGAUUCCCCCUGAAACUGCCAUUCCCCUCUCAUUUGUUGAAAAUAUCGUUUACUGGAGCUGUGCACCCUAUUACUUUUGGCUUUGAUCUUUUUGAGUCUAAUCACGGACUAAGAGUGUCCAUGCUGUUUGGGCUGAUUUAACACCAAAGCAAAGGAGGAUUAUCUCCUGUAUUCAUAAUGAUACUUCUCCAUCCCCUAAGGUGGAGGAGACAAAGGCUAAUGGUUCGCAGAAGGAUGGUAACCGGACAUAAUGUACAGCUAUCUGUGUUUAGAAAUCAAGUUAUCAUUUUAAUUCUAGAAGUAUUUCUCAUAUAAACAUAUACAUGGUUGUCAAUAGUAAAGGUUAUAUAAAAAAUAGCUCUUUAAAAUUAUCAAGGUAGUUUGCACAAUGCUAAAUAUUAACUCUCAUUCAUUGACUCAUUCAUUCACUCGUUGACUCGUUCACUUAUUUAUUUACUGGGCAUUUAUUAUGUGCCAGAUAUGGUAGGUAGCCUCUGAGUAGACAGAGUGAAAAAAAGCCGGUAGUCUCUACUCUCACAGAGUUGACAGUUGGGUGGGAGAGAUAGAUAAUAAAUGAAAUAAUCACUUUGUAAUUACAAAUAGCAAUGAGUAUAAGAAAAGAGUAAAGUGCCCUGAAUGUCUUCUUAAUGUCCUGCACUUUGCCAAGCUGAGCUUUUAUUGUCUUUUCAUCCUGAGAAUAAUGCUGCAGCAUGGAUAUAAUUUUCUGCAUUUAACUGAUGGUAAAAUAAAGGGUAGUCUCAGCCAGCAACAUGCUGAGGGUCUCCUAGAGAUAGGUAGAAGUGGAGGUGGGUUUAUAACUUGAGGGGUUGAGUCACGGCCUAUGGUCUUACCUCUCCAAGAGUUGCUUCUUCAAUCAUUUGCUACCCAAACUCCAUUCUCAUGCCCCACAACCCCCUUGAGAUUCUAAGAGGUUCAUAGACAUUCCUGCAUUCUUACUUUGAGUUAGGAACUAUGAUGAGAAUUGAACACAAGAGCCUCGCAGGACAUCACAGUGUCUGUUUUAGAGAACAUGUUGCUAUGCAACUGAAUGCUUGUACAUUAUCUCUGCUCCCCUAUGCCCCCACCACUACCCUGCUCUAGAACUUGGGGAGGUCAAGCAAAGGAAAAUUAGGAUCUCGGCUGCUAUGCCGAGUAGCCGUGGUUACCCAGAUCCCUCCUUCGUGCUGACCCAUCACAGCAAAGGAAAAAAAGAGAACCUUUCAGGAAUACCUCAAGAUUUUUCUAUUAGUACAUCAGCUCCAUUCCAUUGAGAAACCAGAACCAGAAACCACACUGUCACCCACCAGUUAGGUGACUUACUCGCUACUCCUUGGUGUGGCAUGGGGGAGACUGGCCCAAGAGGCCUGGAGGUCCCUCCACGUGGAAAUAUAAGAACCAGGGGAGAUGUUUUUUUCCAGCAUACCCCAUCUCCAUUUCAGUAAGUAAAACCCUAUGCCUUCUGGGCAGCUAUAACCUUUGGAAAAAUCUGCCUGCCCUUCACAAAUACUUUUUAAAUUUAUAUGCAUUUUCUUUUAUAGAGAUAAGGAUUAUAAUAUUAAUAAAUUAAGGCAUAAAAACACCAGUUUAAAUAAUCAAGGGAGUAGUGUAGAUAACUAUAGUGCAAAUGUGGCACUAAUAAAUUUACUACUAACAAUUUCUUAUCUACAGACCUGGACCAAAGUUCCAAUUAUGUAGGCAGGUGAAUAUCAGGAUAACAGUUCAUGUAUUUAUAACUGGUAAUUGUAAUUGUUUGUAUAGCAGUUCAAUAUUGGCUAUUAAUAUGCACCUGGCUAUGUAUACCCAUGCAAAGGUGGCCUACAUCACUGUGUCCCCAAUGAUGACAAUCUGGACAUCAGCAUACAGCCAGGCCUGUUAUUGGUACCCACUGAGAGUUGCCCUUCCAGACGAGCUGCUACUGUUUGUGGGGCCUGGAACUGUGAAUGACUGAUCCUUGGGUUUUAUGUCUCCCUCUGAUGUAGCUUCAUCCUGUCCCUGCCCAGAUUCAUUCCUUCAGCAGGCAUUCAUAUGCCUGUUUGAGGCCAGCGGUGGUGCUGGUUUCUGUAGCAUGAUGAGAAAGGAAGAUACUUGAUAUGGUUUGGCUGUGUCCCCACCCAAAUCUCAUCUUGAAUUGUAGCUCCUAUAAUCCCCACAUAUCAUGAGAGGGACACAGUGGGAGGUAAUUGAAUCAUAGGGGUGGGUUUUUCCCAUGCUGUUCUUGUGAUGGUGAAUAAGUCUCAUGAGAGCUGAUGGUUUUAUAAAGGCCAGUUCCCCUGCACAUGCUGUCUUGCCUGCUGCCAUGUAAGAUGUGCCUUUGCUCCUCCUUCGCCUUCUGCCAUGAUUGUGAGGCUUCCCCAGCCAUGUGGAACUGUGAGUCCAUUAAACCUCUUUUUCUUUAUAAAUUACCCAGUCUCGGGUAUGUCUUUAUUAGCAGUGUGAGAAUGCACUAAUACAACACUUACAUAGUCAUCCUGCAGUUGGAUGCCUGCUACAGUGGAGGUGAAACAAAUUGUGAACAAUGGGGUCUAAACCUUCUCCCUAAUGAAUAUAUUAAUUAAACAUGCAUAUGGGCAGGCAAAUUCUCAAACUUUUUGGUUAGAACUAACCCCAUUGCACUCUUAAAAAUUACUAAGGACCCCUAAGAAUCUUGAUCUAUAUGGGUUAAAUCUAUCAAUAUUUACCACAGGGCAAUUAAAACUGAAGCAUUUUUGAAAUGUUUAUUUAUUUUAAAACAAUAAUAAUAAACCCAUUUUAUGUUAACAUAAAUAGCAUACUUAUAAAAAUUAUUAUACUAAACAAAAUAUUGAGAAGAAUGUCAUUAUGGUAUAUUUCUGCAAAUCUCUUUAAUGUGAGGCUUCAUAAGAGACACGUAGAAUCUUAAAUCUGCUCCUACAAUUAAUCUGUGACAAUAUCACACUGUUCAUAUGUCAAUGUAGCCUCUGGAAAACUCCACUGUACACUCAUUGGAGAAUAAGAGUAAAAAGACAAUUAAUCUCUUAAAAUUAUAGAUUAUUAUAAUUAUUAUAAAAAUAGUCUUUACCUCUUAGAUGGAAGAUUUGGGAGACACACAGGAGUUCCCAUGUAACACUUUGAGAACCCCUGUUUUAUGGUGUUCUAUUCUAAGUGUGCACUCACUGAAGGCACUCAUACACCCAAAUUGCAGAGAAGUCUUUGGAUUUGAAUCACAGUGUUCAACUAUUUGUCCACAAUUCAAACCUAUCUCUAUUUGUUUAUUUAUUUUUAUUUUAUUUUUGAGAUGUAGUCUUGCUCUGUCGCCCAGGCUGGAGUGCAGUGGCACAAUCUCGACUCACUGCAAGUUCCGCCUCCCGGGUUCACACCAUUCUCUCGCCUCAGCCUCCCGAGUAGCUGGGACUACAGGCACCCACCACCACACCCAGCUAAUUUUGUUUUUGUAUUUUUAGUAGAGACAGAGUUUCAUUGUGUUAGCCAGGAUGGUCUCGAUCUUGUGACCUCGUGAUCUGCCCGCCUCGGCCUCCCAAAGUGCUGGGGUUACAGGCGUGAGCCACCGUGCCGGGCCUAUCUUUUUUUAAUUUGUAAUUUUUAUUUCAAGAAUAGGGAAGAUAAGACUGGGAAAUACAUUGACGGCAGAGAACUAGGGUCAGUGGUCCUCUGGAGAUGUCUUGUAUGGGCUUGAGAGAGCUGAUUAAUUGAAUGUUCCAGGAUUUGACCUGUUGUUAAACUAUUAAUAGCUUAAAAUUGGCCAUGAUGGGAAUAUUUACACCAUGGAAAUAAGCAAAUGCUACAAAUCGGGGCUUCUCUCCUACAAAAUUUUCCAAAUUUAUCAGCUUACCACUUGUUAUAGUUCUUAACCCCAAGCUUUUUUUUUUUCCUUGGUUUUGUUUUGGUUUUAUUGUUUUAAACUGAGUGCAUUCACAUAGGCAGGCAAGCUCCUUGGUGCCAUAGCCCCUUCACCCCGUUAAUUUUGUCCUAUCCCCCAGCCUGGUUCCCACAUGUAUACAGACAACUCUGCCACAAGCCCAGCCUUCUUAGGAAUUUGUGUUUAUCUCAGUGGUUUCUGGUUUUCUCUUGUGUGUGAGGGCUGGAACACCUCUUAUGAAUGGUCCACGGCUUUCACUCCUUCCAUUGAUAAUGUUUGCUGCGAAUGUUUUGGUGAAAUCUUUCAAGAACCAUGGCCAUCCCCCUUCUUUUAAAGCCAAAACAGCACCAGUGCCUGGCACGGGUUAUGCAGACGGUUGGCAUCAUCCCCUGCUAGGAUUUACUAUUAUUUGGAAAUUAAUGAUGGCUUCGUCUUUUCAGGAGUGGGGAGGGGAGCUGUGAUUGACGAAACCUCUCUUUGACCAUCUGUUUCUUUCCUUCAAGGCACUGCUUUUCACAGCCUUAAAAUUUGAGAGAAAUUAUGCUAAGUGAUCACAAAUUUUCUUUAAAGUUUUACUUCAAAGGAAAACAAAAGAAAGCCUUUCAAAAAGACGACUAGCUCUUUUUCUGGAGGUCAAUAUACCACAGAUUAUAAGCCAGAAAAAAAAAAAAAAGGUAAAAUGAGAUUUUUGCUUGGAUUUGUUUUUAAUUAAGACCUAAAUCAUGAUUCUCUUAGAAUGGAAUAGAAAGUGACAGUAGCUCUGAGACCUACUUGAUCAAUUUUGCAAUAUCCCAGCUGCCAGCAGGGAAAUGAGAGGAGGUAGGUAUAUCCAGAAGAAUUCCUUUAUAUCCAGUUGACAGCCACCAGCACCAGUGCAAGUCAGGACAUCUUACUAUUUCUAACCUCCCACCUCCAGAAACAAAGCUGAUUAUAUUUGUCUGUUCCUUCCAGUAGGAAAUUUUAUGAAUCUUGUCCUCAAAAGCUUUCUGAAAACCCACCUCUCCUCCUAGCCAAUUCGAAGGCCUAAAUGUCUUGAUUUUAUGCAAUGCAAAUACAUGAAAAUAUAGUUUUAUCCAUGAAAUUAAAGAGGAUACCAAUGAUUCACUUUACACUGGGAUUCUUAUAGGAUUUCUUUAAUUAAUAAAUCCCUAUAAUGAAUUCAAAAUGACAUCUGUUGUUCAGGAAUUAAAUGUACACUCCACUUUUCAGGAAUGUGUUUAUUUUACCAAACAGGAUACAUACCUGUAUUUAGCAUCCUCUACUUGGGAAGAUUUUCUUAUAUGUAAAUUUUCUGUAUUUAUUUAAAGGCUAUUUUAGCAUAUUAUUUCUUAAGUAGAUAUGGAAAAUCAUUUAUGUUUUUCCAGCACUUGUAUCCUUUUUCUUUUGAGAACAUCAGGUACACGGGGUUGAUUUCAUCAUGCCCCUUGGUUGCUGGCUCACUGUUCUCACUGGGUCAUGCAGAGUCCUUCUCUCGUGCUACUAAGACUCCCUCUUCCUCCCAUCCCCUCCGGCCUAAAUAGGAAACUAGAACCAAGAAAUAUGAUGGAAUAUGCCACUGGUGUUAGGAAUGGCAAUUUUACAUAGGAUGGCCUGUUUGUAGCACAGGCCUGAAGAGAUGAAGUAGGGAUUCAUGGAGAUGUAUAGGGGAGGAGUAUCCAAGACAGAGGAGGGCAAGUGCAAAGGUCUUAAGGUUAGAAUGCACCUGCCAUGUUUGCAGAGUGGCACAGAGGCCAGUAUGGUUGAAACAGAGCCAGUGAGGGAGAGAAGUAGAGGUUAGUUGGUUAGAAAGGUCAGAAAGGUCACUUAUAGGCUGUGAUAAGGACUUUGGCUUUUACUUUCAAGAAACCAGUAGAGGGUUUGAAGCCAAAGAAUUAUGUGAUUUGACUUACUUUUAAAAGGAACAUUCUGACUAUGUUGGGGGGAGACUAGUCUAUGUGGGAGCAGGGAAGAUUAGAAGCAGGGGGUCUAGUUAUGAGGCUACCUGUGGUGGCCCAGAGGACAGCUGGUAGUGGCUCAGAUUAGCACAGUAGCAGUAGAAGUGUCAGGAGCCUAGGCAUAUUUUUAAGAACCAACACGAUUUACUGAUGCAUCAUAUGUGGGACACACAAGUGUGAAGAGCAAAUGGGAUGAUGGAGGUGGCCACUUACCAAGAGUGAAGAUGGUGGUCUGAGCAGAUUUGGCGUGGGCUUAAGGAGUUGGGAUUUGGAAAUGCCAAGUUUGAGGUGCCUAUUAGACAUGCAAGAAGAGACAUUGGAAUAGGAAAAUGGAUAUGCAAGUCUGGAUUUCAAUUUGGGGAAUCAUCUAUGUAUAAUUGAUUUUUAAAAUCAUGAGAUUGGAUGAGAUCAUCAAAGAUGUGAAUAUAAGUAGAAGAAGAAAUGAUCCAAGGACCCGGUCUUACCUCACCUCACUCCGGCUUUCUUUGGAGUGUACAUCGUUAUCUGACAUGAUCACAUACAUGAAUUUGCUUAUCGGUUUGUUGUCUUUCUUUCCAAACUCAAGGCAAGAUUAUGCCAGUGGGGGCUGUGUUGGUUUUAUGCACUGCUUUACUCAGCACCACAACCAUGUCUGAAAUAAGGUGUAGUCAAUAAAUAUUUUUUAAAUUAAAGAAUUUAAAAAUCUGCAGAUAACCCCCAACUCAGCUUAAUUGACAAUCUCAACCUUCUUACUCUACAGCUUCCAAUAAAUGCUUAUGGGACUUGAAAAAUAAGUAGCAAAAUAUAUGAUUUUUCAUUUACUUUCCUAAUCCUUUCCUAGAAGGACAUGAAAAUAGUAGAAUUAUCUAAACACAAUAAAGGGGAGAAAGAGGAGGAGGUGCUAAAGACAUAUUUUUCAAGAACCAACAAGAUUUACUGAUGGAUUGUAUAUGAGAUGUAAAAGAGCAUGAAAAACAAAUAGAAUAGAGGUAGCCACUUACCAAGAGAAUGAAGACUGUGGUACAAGAUGAUUUGGAUAGUGGAGCUGGGGAGUUGACUUAAUUUAGUCUGUGAGCACAAUUGCAAGUGCAUUGUGCCCAAGGCCGUGUGCUGAGCACAAGGAAUGCAGAGUAGAAGACACAGCCCCUAUCCUCAAGAACUUAUGGUUGGGAAGGAAUGAUAGAAAACACAGGUAAGGUGAUAAAUUGUGCUGAGGUUGGAAAAGCUUAGUAAAUCAAAUGAAAAAUUAAAAAUAGCUUUAGGCUAUGCAACAUUUAGGUAUGCAGAAAGACAUGCCUGCAUUUCUUUCAUAAAGCUUUUUGGUAAUCUCAUGUUUCUAACUUAAGUGUUCUUGGAGUAAUGUGUACAUUAAGCAUUUAUCAAAAAAGUCAUUUCUCACGUGGGGAGCUAUGAAAUUGACAAAGUUUGGAUUUGAAGUGACAAAGCCCUUCAGGAAAUUCUUCUAAUAAUUUUCUGUGUUUGACACCAAUUCAUUAGAUAAGUAUGAUGUAGAAGGAAUGAGAGCUGUGUGAUUGUCAUUACAGGUUAUUCAUUUUUUAGGCUGUGUCAGGAGAGUCCCCAGAGUGUGGCUUGUAGGAUUUAUUUAACCAAAAUGAUUGUAUCAUUGAUCACCAAAUUCCUUCCUGAUGAACAGACUUGGAAGGAAUGUGGGAAGGGCCUGCUGCUCUAGACCUUAGUCCCACCAGUGCUUACAUAUUCCCAUUUAUCCUAACAACUGGGGAUUCAAAGGUCUACUAAUAUUCUGAGGCCAAAGCUGGGUAGUAUUAGAGGGAAUUUUGAUAUUUCAUUUAAGUUGCAGUUGAAUAGCCUUAACUUUCUGCACAACGAUUGGUUCUUUUUGGUGAAGGUUUCCUUUUUGAAAUGAAGAAAACUGCUAUAGGUCUGGCGCUUUGGCUUUAUAAAGGUACUGUUGUCUUUGCUUUUCAGGUAAAGAAACUGAAGCCUACAGAAAAGCUUAUUCAAGCCCAUGCAAAUAAUAAUUGGUGAGGGUGGAUUUGAACCCAGGUCUGAUAGGCUCUAAUCUAUGUAAACCAUAUUAUUCUGGCUCUCUCAAGGCUUGUGCUAUAGAAUCCAAGAACUAGAGAUGAACUGAGAGGUCAGGGAGGCUAAGCUUCUCAUUAAUGUUCAUCCAACUUCUACAGGAAUAAUGUCUUUAAUUAUAUUUCUUUUUUCCCAGCUAAAACAUACUAUAUUUCAAUUUGUAUUACUAUAUCAAUAACAUACAAAAAUAUAAAUAUCUUGGAAUAUUGUGGCAGUGGCAGAAGAAGUUUUAAAUAUCCUCAAUUUUUUUAAAAAAUAGAGCAAAAAGAUAGCAAAACCAAAACACAUGAAUGUCAUUAACAAAUUAAAUUGACAAAAAUAUGAUUUUGGGGAGACAAAUCAUUAAUAGCAACAAGGGCCCACAUUAUAUCAGCCAUAAUUUAGCAGGAGGAAGCUAAGGGGAGAAACAAAGCAGUUGACAUGCCUCAGGAUCCCCAAAUGUCCAACAUGUACUCAAUGGAAAGUAGCCAAAACUGGGAGAGGCUUUGUGUACUCUACUAGCAGGUGAAUAAAAAGAGUUAACAGUAAGAUCUAAAGGAGUGGAAUGGUCUGGGUUUCUUGAACAUUUGAAACUUCCUUCCAGGGUAGUCACUCACUGAGGACAAACUGUUGAGAGCAGGACCCAAACUGAGCAGUAUAAAGACAAGGGAAAGAGAAGGUAAAGAUAAAAGUGGAAGAAGUGCCUAGAGGUUUCAUGCAAAAUAAGACUCACACCACAUUGGACAGGCAGACCUGUAAACAAGUAGGUCUUCAUUAAUUCAUUCUACAAAUAUUUCAUGAAUAACCAACUCUUUUGGGUAGGCAUUGGAGGAGCACUGCACCUAAAAUAAGAAAAUUGUAGUAUGAAGCAAAAUAUGAUAGGUGCUAUAUGGACAAAGUAUUAUGAUAGUAUAGAGAAAUGGAAAUUUAUUUCUGUCUGGGAGAUUAGCAAAAACUUACCAGGGCAAUAACAUUUCAGUUGAAUCUUCUAAGAUGUGUAAUAUGUGCUCUUACUUUAAAAACCAUCAAUUCACAUUAAAGGAAUAUUUAGAACCCACUGCCUCAAUAACUACUCAUCCUUAAUCCAUAUGUUCUAGUUUGCAUCACUCAACAUGACUGAAACCCACUGUCUGAAGGCCAUUGAUCAUCUCUUAGCAACAUUUCUUCAGUCGUUGUCCGCAUAAACUCUGCCCAAUUCAUUAUUGUUGAGUAUUGCCUUCUAGAAAUUAUUUUCUUCCUUUUCUUCUGAACAACCAGGGUGCCCUGAUCUCCCUCCUGCCUUCCAACUGUCCCUUUGGUGUCUUUUGGCUGCUUUUAUCACCUCUUUGGUCAUGCCUUCUGUGCUCUCUGUGUUCUCCUGCCUUGGCAUUACCUGAAGUCAUAUGCAGUUAACAUGGAAGUAUCUACGACACUCUUGCCUGUAGGAGCUCCAGACAUGUAUUUCUGACUCUCUGCUCAUCAUUUCUUUCUGUAUGUCCAUCUGUCACCACAAAAUUGAUAUGCCCAAAAUUGGACCCAUUUUCUUCUUCCAACCAAAUCCUUCUCGUGACCUUGCCAACCCAAUUAAUAGCUUCUCCGCUUCCUGGUCCUGACUUAGAAUCUUUGAGUCAUCCCUAACUACCCUGUGGAUGUGUUUGUUGUCUUAAACUUGGACAGCUUCUAUUUCUCUGUGUCGAGAGGACUUACAUGCUCUUUGGAACUUUUCCUGUGUGCAAGGCUUUGAAUGGACUUCAUCCAAACCCAGUGAUAAGGUUCCCUGUGAUAGCUUAAUUGGCAGGGUCUACCCUCAUUCCCUAGUGGAUCACACCAUGUCUGCAUCUGAUUUGGUGAUAGCACAUUCAGGCUCCAGACCAGUACCAGGCACUUUAUACUGCUAGCUUAGGUUAUGAAUAUUAGAAUUAAUGCAGCCGUCAACACUAUCUUACUAGCUUAACAUGAACAAAGUACAAAUGCUUCUUCUGUGGAGGGAGGAGCUCUCAAGCAUAGAUAGUCCCACAUUUAUCCUCCAGGGCUUUUAUUCCCAACCAUACUUAUACUUGUCAGGUUAUUUUUUUCUGCUGAGGAAAUGGCCUUAAUUUACAUUGAUUUUUAAGAAAAAAGAUUUAUUACAGGCACAGCAUCUGCUGUUUGUGCCUAGAGGUAAAGGUUUAGGUUGAAGCAGCUUCCUCCGCUUAUCCAUCUGCUUGUUCAUCCCACAAGCAUUACUGAAAGCUGACUUUGAUGCGGGAUGCUGGCUAAUCAGGUAGGUUGUGUAGUUCCUGCCCCCAAGGAGUUCACUGUCUAGGUCAUAGUUACACUAACUCUGUCAUCUUGCUUAGUGUUUAUUAGCCCUGAGGAUGUAAUCACUCAUUCCUUCACUAAUUCACUUCCUUUUAAUCUCUUCCUCUUUCAUAUCCUUAGUUACCAUCCCUUUGUGGAUGAUUUUCAAUAUGUUUUAGACUCAGUGCUUGACCUUCACAACUAUAUUCGAAAGGUAAGUAUUGAAUUCUAAAUAUAAUAUAAGCAUUGUGCUAGAGGUUUAGAAUACACUAAGAAACCAACAGCAUGGUCCCUGCCCCUGGAGUCUUCUGUUAACAUUAUACAGGUUUCCAUACUAUCCUCACCCUCUAGAAAUUUAUGUCUUAAAAUCAUGAUGUUUGCAAUCACGAUCCAUGUAGAUUGUUUUCUUUGUCUUUUUCUUUCUACAUAGAUAAGUUGCCUCCGAGAAGGGAAAUAAUAAGUUGCAUUAAAACUCCUUAAAAAGAGGAGCUUGAGGUGUGAUUUCUGUAGGAAAAUCACUGCAGAGCUUGCCAGCUAGAAUUAUUUUCUGGCUUAUUAUAAUCCUGUUACGAGUCACCAUUAUUGCACCAAUUUUGUAAACAAUACAGCUAUACCAACAAGGCUAUAAUCAACCACCACUGAAUGUCAUAUCAUUUCUCUACCUUUAAAGAUCUGCAGGAAAAGGGGAUGAGGUGGGAAGAAGACAAGAAUUUUUUAAGUGAUAUGGAUAAUCAAGAAUGCCUUUUAAAAAAAUACCUCUUAAAUAUAUGCCCAUGUCCCCUUAAAUCUGAUGGUGAAACAUCUCAUUUUAGUUGAUGUAUGACAAGGAAGCAAUCACCGUUAAUCAGAAUGACACAUUUCCAUUUACUUGAUGAAAGGGAAGGUAGAUGAAGGUCAUGAAUAAGAAAACAAAGCAGCUUGUGAUUCGUGAUGUUUGGGGUUUCUUUUGAAAUUUGCUUCCUUAGGAAGUUUAUAAGCUGGUUGCUUUCUUCUCUUGGCAUCAUUCAUCCAAAUUGCCAGAAGUCCUUGUCAGUGAAGAUGGAAAUAUUUCAUCUUCUCUCCUGAAUAGAGAAAUAGGUUAAUUUGCUCCGGAUUCUUUGACAAAUUUGGGUUUUAAAGGUGUAAAAUCUCAGAAGUUCUGACUCCAGAUAGCUCUUUAAAAGUUACCAAUUCCAUUCUCUGGGUGAUAAGAUUAUUCGUGGGGGAUUAACCGUCCAGCUGGUCACGGCCAUGCCCGUGGGGAACUGUGGGGGGAAAUGGGCCAGAGGCUUAGUGAUUUUAUUAGAAGCAGAAAUCAAGAGCCUCUUUCCACUCUCCCCUCUCUUGUAUUAUAAGACACUUAACCAUUUAAAUGCUGGCAAUAACUAAGUGCUGGUUAAAGCUUCGCUUUUCUUGGAUACCACUUUUUAUAAAGGAGUCUAUGUUUCUGCUUUUGUUCUGUGGUUGGAGAAGAGGAGUGGCUGUAAUUUAUGGUGCAAGCCUAGCUUUGGGGCCAUUAGAUCUGAAUUUAUGCCUAAACAUUUUUAGAAACUUCCAGAAGUCACUAUGAGACCCCAUUGGGCUGUAGAAUAUUAUCAGUGGGCUGUUAUAGUCUCCAUACCAAAAAUUAAAAUAUAAUUUGUGAAAUACAGAGGAAAUUUUGGCAUUUGGGGAUUCAGCACAGAUCUCCCAAGAGGGAUGAAUGUAAGGCUAUUUAUUUCAAAAUCUAAGGAUGACGUUCUUUCACUACCAGAGUUGGUCUUUGAAUCUACAAAGGUCAUGAUGUCCCAGUAUUUUGAAUCUGCAAAUAUUAUGAUGAAUAGGUAUCUCAGGAUAAUUUUAAAACUUAGUAUUUAUCAUGCUCAAAGCCUUUUGUAACUAUCAUUAUUAUUAUAGUCAUCAUCAUCAACAUCUUCAUCAUCAUUAUUUUAAAUAGAUAGGUUUAAAUAAAUAAUUAUUAAGCUAUAGUAGGAGACUAUAAAAAUAUAAAGAGAACUCUAAAGGUACUCUAGGGCUGAGGGAGCUUACCCAAGGAGAGGCAGACAUGGAAGGUGCAUCCCUCUUCAAAAGUUGGGUUCAGACUUUUUUGGAGCCAGUGUGGUUGCAGCUGUUGGAUGGUGGAAGAGCUCUCUGGAUUGCCCAGGGAAGAGGUGGUCCACAGUCACAGGACAAAGCAAGAAACACCUUUUGGGGCACUGAACACCUGUUAUCUUGCUGAAACAAAGAUGGCAGCCUGAAAUGGUUGUUAGCAUCAAGUUCUUUUGAAAAUGCUUAUUUUCCUAAACUUUGCAAAAAUCCAGCUAUAGUAGGCUUUUUCCUGGCACAGGCUGUGAUCCCAGUGCCAAUGCCUAAGGAACUUAUGUGCUGUCUAUUUUGGGUCUGUGUAAAGCCAAGCUGUACAAACCCUGUCAUCAGCAAGCCACUUAAGAGAGACCCCACUUUGUGCCAUUUUAUACUGGCUCACCCAUAAUGUACAUUUCCUGCCCAUGCUCCUUUUGGUGUGACAGAACUCCAUAAUCUAUCAUUAUAAUUUUCUCUUUGUGUCUUCUUCUUCCUUAUGUUCUUUAGUCAGUCUUUUUAAAGCUCUCCCAAAUUUCUAUUGUUUUUGCAAAUAUUAGGCCAAAUUUGACAAGAAAUCCUGCAUAAAUUACAGUUAAGCUUCUUUAAACUGAAUUUUCAGAUGAUACAAGACUCUCGACGAUGAAACUGAUACGAAAGGAGAAACACUGGAUUAAUUAAGAGUAUUUGCACAUGAGGGAAACCUCAUCUAUCUGGCUUGAUUUGUCCACCCUGGGUCCAAUCUGCUAUGGUCAGAGGGGCAGUGGCAUGUUUGUUACAGACAAAGCAGUUGGGAGUCCACAUUGAUGGGCAAAGGAGGUGAUCAGCAAGGGCUAGGAAGACAUCCCCAAAAGUAUCUUCAACAAACACGAAGGGAGAACCAUCCACCAUUUAGAGUUCACGAUCGUCAGGGCACAGGGCACUAGCUUCCUAAAAUAAGACCUACAGUCUUUUUAAUUUUUAGCAAGCUGGACCUUUCAACAAUAUACUUCCAUGGAGAGAAAUUUUUUAAAAACUUCAGGGGUGAACAACUGCCAAAAAGGAAUGUCUCAUACCCAACUGUCAUUGAUUUUUAUGUGAAAGUCAGUAGUUAUUUCGGUGUAAUGCCCAGGAUGCACAUGAGAAGCUCAGAUUUCAUAAAGGCCAAAGGGGCAGGGUCUAGUCAAGGGCAAAUGAAAGCCUGGAACCAGUGGGAAGAAGGACCAACGAAAGCAAAGCAUAAGGAGUAGAACAUGUCAGGAACAACCAAAGAGAAAUAUUCUUUGGAUUUUAAAGGUUGUACCGAAGCUGACAAUGAAGAGUAGAACAUACUAAGAUAAACUAAAAGAAAUGUUAUUUGGUGUUUAAUGAUUAUAUCAAGAGCAAAAAGACAAAAAAAGGAAGAGGAUACCACCUCUUGGAUCUGGGUGAUGCCAACAGAUGCCAGAGAAAACUUCAGUUUUGCUUAAUCUCUUUGGGCUUCCAUUUUCUCUUUCAAGGAAAAAGAAGAGCCCAUACAGGUUAGUACUAAACUGGAUGACCUAGUCAAGCCUCCUUAGUUUGAAAGAAGCUACCAGCUAAGAAAUGACAUAGUAGGGGAUGGCUGUAGGGAUGCCUCAAGAAUCUCAGACAGCCAGGGUAAUCAGAAAGAUGUUAACAAAAUAAUUGUCCUCUCCAGGUCUCAGGGAAAAAAUGCCUAGCUCGGUGGUUUUGGCAUGUUGGACUCAACUCUUCCUUUUCAUAAUAAAUAUUUUGUAACAUCCGUUUGCUCCCUUAAAAUAAACUUCAUAGAUAAUAUAACCUACUUAAACAUUUAAUUUCAAAGCAAAGUGAAUAUAUUACCCAAACUGAAAUAUAAAGGAGGCUUACAGAGAAAGUAAUUUAUCUAAAACAGAAAGUAAGCUGUAGUUUAAUUAAUAAAUGUUCAAAGACAAGGAUGCUCACUCUCACUACUCCUAUUCAACAUAGUACUAGAAGUCCUAGCCAGAGCAAUCAGGCAAAAGAAAAAAAUAAAAUACAUCCAAAGAGAAAGAAGAAAAGUCAAACUAUCUCUGUUUGCAGACAAUAUAAUUUUACACCUAGAAAACCCCAGUCUUUGCUAAAAAGCUCCUAGAUCUGAUAAAUGACCUCAGCAAAGUUUCAGGAUACAAAAUCAAUGUACAAAAAUGAGCCACAUUUCUAUACAUCACCAACAUCCAAGCUGAGAGUCAAAUCAGGACCAUAAUCCCAUUCAUAAAAUACCUAGGAAUUCAGCUAACCAGGGAGGUGAAAGAUCCCUACAGUGAGAAUUACAAAACACAGCUAAAGGAGAUCAGAGAUGACACAAACAAAUGGAAAAACAUUCCAUGGUCAUGGAUAGAAAGAAUCAAUAUCAUGAAAAUGGCCAUACUGCCCAAAGCAAUUUACAGAUUCAAUGCUAUCCUUUUCAAACUACCAAUGACAUUUUUCACAAAAUUAGAAAAAAAUUCUAAAAUUCAUUUGAAACAAAAAAAUAAGCCUGAAUAGCCAAAGCAAGCCUAAGCAAAAAGAACAGAGGCAUCAUACUACCUUACUUCAAACUAUAUUACAGGGUAUAGUAACUAAAACAGUAUGUCCUGGUGCAGAAAACAGACACAUAGGCCAAUGGAACAGUAGUAAAGCUACAUUCCUACAAGUAUCUAAUCCUUGAUAAAGCCAAUAAUAACGAGCAAUGGGGAAAGGAAUGCCUAUUCAAUAAGUGGUACUGGAAUAAUUGGCCAGCCAUAUGCAGAGAAUAUUGAAACUGGACCCUGCAUUUCACCAUAUGCAAAAUUUAACUCAAGAUGGAUUAAGGACUUAAGUGUGAAACCUAAAACUGUAAAAACCCUGGAAGACAACCUAGGAAUUACCAUUUGAGACACAGGCCUUGGUGAAGACUUCAUGAUGAAGACUCCAAAAGCAAUUGCAACAAAAACAAAAAUUGACCAUAGGACCUAAUCAAACUAAAGAGCUUCUGCACAGCAAAAAACAAAAAAACAAAACAACAAACAACAAAACAAAACAAACAAAAAACCACCCUAUCAACAGAGUAAACAGACAACCUACAGAAUGGGAGAAAAUAUUUGCAAACUAUGCAUCUGACGAAGGUCGAAUAUCCAGAAUCUAUAAGGAACUUAAGCAAAUUAACAAGCAAAACCCAAACAAUCUCGUUAAAAAAUGGGCAAAGGACAUGAACAGACACUUCUCAAAAGAAGACAUACAUGUGGCCAACAAGCAUAUGAAAAAAAUUUUCAAUAUCACUAAUCAUUAGAGAAAUGCAAAUCAAAAUGCAAAUCAAAACCACAAUGAGAUACCACCUCACACCAGUCAAAUGGCUAUUACUAAAAAGUGAAAAACAAAAAACAAAAAAACAGAUUCUGGUAACGUUGCAGAGAAAUGGGAAAUAGUUCAGCCACUGUGGAAAGCAGUUUGGAGGUUUCUCAGAGAACUUAAAAUAGAACUACGAUUCAACCCAACAACCCUAUUACUGGGUAUACAGCCAAAGGAAUAUAAGUCAUUCUACCAUAAAGACACAUGCACGUGAAUGUUCAUCGCAGCACUAUUCAGAAUAGCAAAGACAUAGAAUCAACCUGGAUUCCCAUCAACAGUGGACUGGAUAAAGAGAACAUGGUACAUAUACACCAUGCAAUACUACAUAGCCAUAAAAAUGAGAUUAUGUCUUUUGCAAUAACAUGGAUGGAGUUGGAGCCAUUAUCCUAAGUAAAUUAAUGCAGGAACAGAAAACCAAAUACCACAUGUUCUCACUUAUAAGUGAGUGCUAAACAUCGUGUACGCAUGGACACAAAAAAAGGGAACAAUAGAUACUGGGGCCUACUUGAGGGUGGACAGUGGGAAAGUGUGAGGAAUGUAAACCUACAGGUUGGGUACUACGCUGAUAACCUAGGUGACAAAAUUAUCUAUAAACCAAACCCCCACAACACACAAUUUGCCCAUGUAACAAACCUGCACAUUUACCCCUUGAACCUAAAAGUUGGAAAGAAAAAUAAAUAAAUGUUCAGACAGAAGAAGAAACAAUGAAGUAGCCACAGAUUUAUUUGCACCUAUAUGUAGAAUCUUUGUGAGUAUGACAACCUCAAAUACAGAUUGAUAAAGUCAGAUUGUACUGGCAACCUGAUUUUUCAAAGUGGUGGGUCUUUCAGUUAUCUCUUGCUGUGUCACAAACUAGACCUCAGUGGCCUCAAACCAUCAUUUUAUGAUGCUUUUGGAUCCUAUGGGUCAGGAAUUCAGAAGGAGCACAGUGAGAAUGGUUCUUCUCUUCCCCGUGAUGUCUGGGGCCUCUUUGGGGAUGGGUCGAGUGCCAGGACCUGGAAGAGUUAAAGCUGAAGGAAUCACUUCCAGGAUGUCUCUGCUUCACUCACUCACCUGGCUCCUUGGCUGGAGGGUUGCAGACAGGACUCACUGUAGGUGGCCCUCCAGCCUGGUGAUCUCAGGGUGCCUAAAUUUCUUACAAGACAGGCAGAGUUCUAAGGACAAGUAUCCCAGCAGAAGCUGCAAGAUCUUUCAUGACUUAGCCUCCAAAGUCACCAGUAUCACUCUGACAUACCCUCAGUCAAAGCAGUCACAUGGGGCAGGAGGCAGAGAGGAUGUGAGUAUACAGAGCCCACCUCUUGAUGAGAGGAGUGUCAGAGAAUUUGUAGUCAUGUUUGAAACCACCACAGUGACUGGCUCUCAGCAAAUUUCCAACAAAACAGCGGUCUUUCUAUGAAUUACACAGUAGCUACCUUCCUGGAAAAUUCAGUACGUAUUAAAACCUUGUAAACAGUAUGUUAUGUAUGUAUGUAGUAUGGAAGCUUAGACUAUAUACACACCGUUCAGCAGCAUCUUUGAAAGUUGUGUGAGACUCAGGGUGCUGCUUUGUUGUAUACUUACACUCCAGAACACUGCAGGAUGCUUAGCAACUUUGGUCCAUGCCCACUAAAUGCCAGUGCUGCCCAUCCUGGUUAUUUAUCUCUCAUCUGUAGACUGACUUCUUCUGAUUACUUGGUGCAUUGCUUAUAGAUCAAAAUGGCACCCUUAGUCCUCACUCUACACACUUUUCAGCUCACCUCUUCCACUCAGCUGAGUUCUGACAAUGAUAGUGAUGAUGAUGAUGUUGUUGAUAUUGGUAAUGAUGACUAUAAUGAUGAUGGCAAUGACAGCAGCAGUGACCAUUACCACUUUGCCAGGGGCUCUAUUAUGUUAUGCACCAUCUUACUUCAGGCUGACAACAACCUUACAGCAAAUAUUAUUGUCCUUGCUUUUCAGAUGAGGAAGCUGAGGCUUAGAAAGCUUAAAUAAUCUAUAUAGGAUGAUAAAAUUAGAAACUGGGGAACCAAGAAGUUUGAUUUUUCUCCUAGACCUCUGGAUAGCUUUGAAUGACAAUGUGACCUCACCUAAUUGUCUUUGGCUGAGGGGAUAGAAGCAGUGUUCUGUAGAUCACUGGGAGCCAUUUGCUCAGAGAAGGGCCAUGGGCAGGUGGGCACAAUGAUUAGCAUCUCUGGCACAAUGGAGAGGAGGAAAUUGACAUUCAAAAUAGAUGUGAAAAUGGUAAAAGGGCAUGAACCUACUCUUCCAGACUUCCCAGACUCUGGGAGAAGAUGGCUGAAUCUUCUGAAUCUCAUCUUCUUUGGGAAGGGUGGAGAAUAAAGGCAAAGACAGUUCUAAUGUUGAACAAAAGGAAGAAGGUGGAGCCUAGAAACAUGAGCUGAAUGUAAAAUUCUAGAUCAUGUAUUAAAAAGGACAUCAGUCCGGGCCUACUCAUUCUUGGCCAGCCAAGGAGGUAUCUGCAUUGUCAUCUCCAUGCCAUUAGGUGGCCCAGGUAUCCCAGCCUUGACCUCCCUCUUGGCUUGUCUUCUCUGGUCUGCAUUCCCAGAACCAUACUCAGUAUGUUAUCCACAUGGCUCACACAGCCACACAGUGGCAUGCUAACAGGAGAGCUUUGAAGAUCUGUGAUUCAACUGAAGCAAGUCCAAAGCCUUGGAAGUGUUUUAUGCUUCUGUGUAUCUACUAAUGAGGUGCCUUCAUUUAGCAAGAAAAUAGAUAUUAUAGGCUCUAUUUUUAUGAUCUUUAAAAAUGGGGAAAAUAAAAUUGCACCACGAACGGCAAAAAAGACAAGGAAGAAAAAUAGCUUGUGGUUCUUUAAUUCAAUUGCAGCCAACUGGGUUUCUCUCUCCUUAGCUCUCUUAAAAAACAAAACAAAUUUGUAAUAUAAAUGCUGUUUUGGCACAUAAUAUAUUCGGCUUUAACAUUGCCUAUCUGUAUUACAAAAGUGUGUUUAUAAAAGCCUUCGAGUGCUUCGUGAAAAUAUAACAUUUUUAGAAUAAAAAGUGUUAUUGAGGUGUUAUUCUCUAAAUUUUAAAAAAGUCUGAAUAUGAAUAUUUUAUGUCUGUGUAACAUAUUUUAUAUAAAGGUAUGAUCAUAUUGGUGAGGAGAAAUGCAAAAGAUGAACAGAUGUAAAGAAAAUUCAUAUUCCUGUUUCCUUUCGGACCAUUAAUUCUAUGGCAAACAACGUCUCUAAUGUUUUAUCUUUUCCUUGAAUAGUAUUUUCACAGCAAAUACGAAAAUCUUAUUCAUAUAAGGGCCCUCUAAGGGUGUCCUUCACCUAACAUCAGUCAUCAUUUGGACCCUUUCAGGGCCCAAGCCCUGGAGAGGAAUCCGCACUUGAGGGACACCAGCCUUCAUUUCUUAGAUUUCUUGCCAUGAGAAACCUGCUGUCAUUAUUCAAGAAAUAUCUACAGGAAGAUGUUCUGAAAAAUUGAGUCUCUCUCGCAGGAGCGUUAGAUUCUCCUGGAUGCAGAAGGAGCCCUGUGGCUCAUUUGGUCCAGCAACCUGCCUCCAGCAGAGCCAUAUGCAAACCACCCUCUGCAGCGAAUAUGUUCCCUACAUUAUUUCAGGCUCUAUUCUUCCUCCAGACCCACGUUCUCCGAGAGAACCUUCCACAGUGAUGGAAAUAGUCUACAGCUGUGCUGUCCCAUAUAGCAGCCACUAACGUCAUGUGGGUAUUGAACACUAGAAAUGUGGCUUGCGUGACCAAGGAGCUGACUUUUUAAUUUUAAUUAAUUUAAAUAUAAACAGCCUCAUGUGACUAGUGGCUACCUUAUUGCCUGAGCAGUUCUAGAGCCUCCAGGGAUUUUGUGCAAAACAAAACACAACAAGACAAAGGUGAACAUAAUCAGAGUUUGGUCUGAGUUACAUAAAAUUUCCAAGGUGACUUGGGAAGUUGUUUCUUACAAAAAACUAAUAACACUUGAAAUAAACCCUUGCCAUGUAUUGGGCACUGUCUAACAGCCAGGCAAAGUGUACAAUAAGUGCUUGAACAGUAUUAUUUUACUAUUUUGCUGAACUCAUAAGAUCCUUAUGAGGUAAGCAUUAUCUCCCCCACUCCUUUUUUAUUUGGAGAUGAAAAAAUCUGUGAUUUAGAAACAUUAAGGGUCACAGCUUGUUCUUGGCAGAGGGAGGCUUUGAACUCGGGUCGGAGUCCAAUCCCUGUGUGUAGUGCUUUAUAUUUUUCCUCUAUAGCUUGUUGGAAUUUACACUACCUUCUAACUAGAGAUUUGGUUAAUAAUGGGAUAGAACAAGUUUCUUAGUGCAAAGUUCUAUUUCCACAUGUGACUCCCCUGUAAGAUUAUAACCUGCCAUGGAAGGUGACUCUAUGACACUGAACUUGUGUCUGAAUUGUCUAUUCUCCCCCUUGGUGGCCAUAUUUUUUCAGUAAGAAGGUUAUAAACAAUGAUUUAUGACCUCUUGAGGUGCUAGAAAACAUUGCAUUUGCAUUUAUAUGUAGUCACGAGACAGUUCAGUUUAGUGUUAAGAUCAUAAAUGAUGGUCUCAAAGAAGCCUAAGGUCUCCCGUGGGCACCAUGCAUCUUCAGACAGGUUACUUCAUCCUGGAAACCUCUGCUUUGUCAUCCUUAAAAUGGGGUAAUAAUAGGUCCCCCUUCAUGAGUUCCUUGCUGUGAAUCAAUGAAUGAGUGUAUUUGAAGUAUUAGCAUGGUGCCUACUAUACAGUAAGUGCUCAAUAAAAACUAGAGGCUAUUGGUUCUAUUAUCACUCUAUAGCCACUUCAGCUCAUACCCAUAAGGUUUAUUAUUAGUUUCUUAUUUGGUUCUUAUUAGUAGGGAAAAGAGAUGUUGAUCCUAGGAAAUACAUGGAUCAAAGCCAAUGAGAUGACUGUCAUCAAAUGACUUUCUCUCUCUCCUGAGAUAUAAAUGCAAUCAAAUGAGCCCCUGAAUUGCUGGUUUGUACAUAACAGAAAACAAACAAACAAACAAGAAUGUGCUAUCUUCCCCUCCCCUUGUAAUUGAUAAAGUGUAGCCAGAAGGGGGAGGCUCUAUCUCAUUUUUUUUUUUAGCAUGGCCCAGGUUCUUAGCUAUUCAAUACUCACUUUGGGAUUACAACGGCCCAUGCCGCCAGCAUAGGUAAUAUAUAAAGGGAUGUCAAAUGGUGUGUUAGAAAGAGCCAAUGACAGAAUCAAAAAUCCUGUAUCUGAGUCCUAGCUUUGUGGUGACUUACUCUGUGGCCUCAUACAAAUCACUGAAGCCCUCAGCCGAUGCAUCUAUGAGAUGAAGAAUUUAAACUUGAGGAAUUCCUCAACACUACCUAGCAAUAACUGGUUAUCAGUAUCCAGUGUACCAAUUAGGACUCAGAAACUCACUUUAUCAGUUGCCAUUUAUUACACCUGAAUGAGUUAGGGUAAUGCUAGCUACUAUAAUAGAUAAUUCUCCAAAUCUCACCUGCUUAGUACAGCAAACAUUUAUUUCUCAUUCAUAGAAAUUCUAAACAGGUGCUCCUGAUCAGCAAAUAACUUUCCUCCAUGCAGUGACUCAGGGAUCCAGGCUCCUUUCCCCUGGAGAUACUACAGUCUUCAGUACUGGUCCCAAGGUUGUCAGCUUAAGGGAAGGGUCUGGGGGAUGGCUUGGGAGGGGUUUAUAUGGGCCAGAUCUGGGAGUGGCACACAUCACUUCCAUUCUCAUUCCAUGGGUGGAACUCAGGCUCACAAACACACCCAACUGCAAAGGGGCUGGGAAAUGUAGUCUGGCUGGGUGUUCAGAAGGAAGAGGAAAUGGGUGUAGUGAACAUCUAGUCCCUUUGCCCCACCUCUCAGCAGUAUUAGAUGAUUGCUGCUAUCACACCAGGUGACUCUUAUUAUAGUCAAAAGCAAAGAAACAAAGUUUUAGGUAGUUUUGUGGCUGUGUGUGUGUGCGCAUGUAUGUGCCUAUUGCAGAGGUGGGGGCAGCGCAGGCAGUGGGGGAUAUAACACUUCUGUUAAAAUUUUUGAAAUAUUGAAAAAAGUUAGUAAAUUAUCCUCUCAUUCCUUAGGUUUUAGACUCUUGCCAAAGCAUGUAGAAGUUCCAGCCCCUAUUGCCUAGUACCUGGUACCUAGGACAGGAAGACCCUACUCCAUUUUCUAAUUGAUUCUUGGGGAUCUGGAGAGGAAGUCUUGAGCUCUCCCUAGGGGCCGACAAGGUCCCCUUUGUCUAUAUUCUCACUUUGCCUUCUCUUAAGAUUGCUUCUUCAUAGCUCCUUAUCCCAGCUGAUACAGGGCUGAGAUACAAUGGUUUCUUCUCCACUGCAUAAAACUAAAGCAUUUCUCUCUGGCUUAGUAGAAUGUUGCGUGAUGUUCCAGUACUCUUGUGUAUGUCUGCUAGAUUGUCUUCAUUGUCACUUUUCCCCUCUUAUAAUUAGUUUUAUUAAUCUUCCUUCACAGUACAUCUAAUUUUCAUAAAACAACGGGCAUUUUAAAAUAAAGAAAAAAUGAAUAUACAAACUUCUCAAGAUAUCUCAAGAUGUCAAUUGCAAAGAAAAACAUCAGCUAACCAGAUAUCACAUGAAAAUGUGGCCACAUUUUUUAGGGUAAAGAACUUUUAGAAAGGUAAUUUAAAAGGAUAAAAGAAUGAAACUCCUAUCAUAUUUAAAAUGUUUUAUUUUUCCAUAAUUUUAACAACAUUGUAAGCAUCAUCAAAUAGUGAAAUGAGAUCCAGGUUUGGGGUCACUCUUGAGUUCUGCAAGGCUAUGCCUCUGCCUCUCAGUAUCCUUAUGUGUAAAAUAGCAGUAGAGGCACUUAGUUGCUAAAUUCUUUUAUUUUUUUUUUUGAGACAAGGUCCCACUCUGUCACUCAGGCUGGAGUGCAGUGGCACGAUCACACCUCACUGCAGCCUCGGUUUCCUGCGUUCAACUGAUCCUUCUGCCUCAGCCUCCCAAGUAGCUGGGGCUACAGGCAUGUGCCACCACACCCAGCUAAUUUUUUCAUUUUUAUUUUUGUAGAGACAGUCUCACUAUGUUCCCCAGGCUGUUCUUAAACUCCCAGGUUCAAGCAAUCCUAUUGCUGUGGCCUCCCAAAGCGCUGGGAUUGCAGGUGUGAGCCACUGCACUCAGCUUAGUUGCUAAAUUCUAUAUUGAUUGCUUGGAAGAUUGAAUAAGGUAAAUUAUAAAGCAUAUAGCAAAAAUGGCAAGCACCUGGUAAGUGCCUAAUACAGGUUAGCUCCCUCAGGUAAGAAUUAUCCCCCGGAAUAUGAAAGCCAAAAUCAGCUGACUCUCUGCUUUCAAAGGUUCUGCAAUCUCCAUAGAGCACCCAGGAAGCAGGAACCUCAGUCCUGUCAAACAGCUUUCUUAAUAAUGCAAAUGCAGGGACACUGAUGCAAUGUACAUACUUUUUAAAGUACUGGUCAGAAAACCUCCACAGUGUGUCUUUUGUAUGCAGAGCCCUUCCCUACUGCCUCUGCCAAAAGAGGACAUAAAUUAAAGACAUAGUACCUGACCUUAAGGAUCUUGAAAAUCAAAACCACAAUGAGAUACCAUCUCACGCCAGUUAGAAUGGUGAUUAUUAAAAAGUCAGGAAACAACAGAUGCUGGAGGGGAUGUAGAGAAAUAGGAACGCUUUUACACUGUUAGUAGGAGUGUAAAUUAGUUCAACCAUUGUGCAAGACAGUGUGGUGAUUCCUCAAGGAUCUAGAACCAGAAAUACCAUUUGACCCAGCAAUCCCAUUAUUGGGUAUAUACAGAGAGGAUUAUGAAUCAUUCUACUAUAAAGACACAUGCACACGUAUGUUUAUUGCAGCACUGUUCACAAUAGCAAAGACCUGGAACCAACCCAAAUGCCCAUCAAUGAUAGACUGGAUAAAGAAAAUGUGGAACAUAUAUACCAUGGAAUACUAUACUAUGCAGCCAUAAAAAAGGAUGAGUUCAUGUUCUUUGCAGGGACAUGGAUGAAACUGGAAACCAUCAUUCUCAGCAAACUAACACAAGAACAGAAAACCAAACACUGCAUGUUCUCACUCAUAAGUGGGAGUUGAACAAUGAGAACACAUGGACACAGGGAGGGGAACAUCACACACCGGGGCCUGUUAGGGGAUGGGGGGCUAGGGGUGGGAUAGCAUUAGGAGAAAUACCUAAUGUAGAUGACAGGUUGAUGGGUGCAGCAAACCACCAUGGCAUGUGUAUACCUAUGUAACAAACCUGCACGUUCUGCACAUGUACCCCAGAACUUAAAGUAUAAUAAUAAUAAUAAUAAAAGCACACAUAGGUGAAGAGUGAGAACAUUCCAAACUAAUUUUCCAAUUGAACAUGAAGAUCUGUGCAAGGUGUGGGGGUGGUGGAGGUGAUGGUUGAAGUGGGUGGAGCAUGGGUAGCAGAGUCAAUGACAAGUUGGGAUAAACCUUCCUGGACUAAAUUUGUGCCAAAUCUGGAAGGUGAUGAAUCUGAGUUAGCUAAAGCAAAGGAGAGCUUUUUGAAAAAUUGCCUAUGCAACCUUUUGGCAAAGCAGGUUGGCAUAUGUAGUAAGAACCUUUCAGAUAUGUAUACUCAGGUUCUAGAAUUCCACUGCUGCAAUUCUAUCUGGUUGAAGGAAUCUUCAAAAUGGAAAAAGCUUCACUGCUGGUGGAAUUACAAAAUGAUGCAGCCACUUUGGAAAAUAGUUUGGUAGCUCCUGAAAAUGUUAAAUAGCUAGUUACUGUAUGACCCAGCAAUUCCACCCACACAUACAUAUCCCCAAAGAAUUGCGGUGUAUAUCCGUGUGAAAACUUAUGCACAGAUGCUCACAGCAGCAUUAUUCAUAAUAGCCAAAAAGUGGAAACAAAAAUGACAUCAGCUGAUGAAUGGACAUACAAAAUGUAGUAUAACGACACAAUGAAAUAUUAUUCAUCCAUAAACAAAAUGUGGUAUAACCACACAAUGAAAUAUUAUUCAUCCAUAAACAAAAUGUGAUAUAACCACACAAUGAAAUAUUAUUCAUCCAUAAAAAAGGAUGAACUACUAUAACAUGGAUGAAGCUUGACAACAUUACACAAAGUAAAAGAAGCAAGUCAUAUAAAGCCACGUAUUAUAUGAUUUCAUUUAUGCGAAUGGUCUAGGAUAGAUAAAUUCAUAGUCAGAAAGCAGAUUAGUGGUUGUCAGCGGAGGGGGGAUGUAGGGAGUGACCACUAUUAGGUAAGGGGUUUCUUUUGGGGAUAGCAAAAAAGAAGCUUCUAAAAUGGGAUAGUGCUGAUGGCCGCACAACUCUGAAUACACUAAAAACGUCUGAUUUGUCACUUUAAAAGGGUGAAUUUUGUGGUACGUGAAUUAUAUCUCAAUAAAGCAGUUGUAAAAAAUAGAAAAAUGUUUUAUGCAUAAAGAUGACAUAGUGACAUUCUUUCUAAGACUGAAGAAUUGGAAACAAUCUAGAUGUCAGUCACAGUAAAGUCUGAAAAUACUAUGGCCACUGGAUGGACUCUUAGGCAUCCAUUUAAAUAAUUGUUGAUGCGAAUGACAAGAGUCCCUUCUGGCUUUAUUGCUGGAAACAGCACCCUUCUUAGCAAUCCAGUCUCUUUUUGAGCAACUCUCCACGGUCUUGUACAGGCACAGGAGCAGCUUUUUGGGUUGUGUUUGUUUUGUCUCAUGCAGGUUUCUCACCCCUACCCCACGUUGCCCUGACUGCUUUUCAAUGAGCAAAGCUCUGUCAUCAUUACUCCUCCAUUCUUAGGAGAGAAGACGCCUUAUCUAAUAUCAUCCUAAAAAACAACACAGCUCCUUCCCCUUAAUUUCCAGAAUACAAGAAAGAUAAAAAUCCUACUUUUAAUGAUAUUUUCUUCAGAUGUAGGGACAAUGGGAAGAAAGUCCUAUACAGAUGAUAAUUUUCCUCUCCCACCCUGGGCCAGUCCACCCUAAGUGGCUUUAGGCUCCAGCUCCUGCCUGACUUCCCUUUUGCCUUCAUCUGGUUUUAUCUGGCAGAGGGAGGUGUGAAGGUUCUUUCAGGGUUGGGAUUAAAGGCUCAGCUGACUCACAGAUCCUGAGAUGGAAGGGAGGGUUUCGCCCCUCUUCCUAGUCCAACAUCUGCUGCCCAGGUCUUCCUCUUGUGCAGUAGGAUUGACUUCUUCUGAAGAUAACUCAGGGUAGGAAAAUCCAUUCUCUUCCUUUCAUGGGACCACAGAGGCCUGGCCGGGGCUUCCCUCAGGCUGCUCCUCAAAUGCAGGCUACUUCAUGCACUGACCAGGAACAGACCAGAGCAAAGCUCUGUUCUGCUUCAUCCAGCCCCUUUCAGGUACUUUCCCUCAAGGAUGACUUGAAGCUAAUUUCAUCCAUGAUCAUAUUGCAUAAAACGUAUCGGCCAGGCACAGUGGCGCAUGCCUGUAAUCCCAGCACUCUGGGAGGCAAGGGUGGGUAGAUUGCUUGAGCCCAGGAGUUUGAGACCAGCCUGGGCAACAUGGAAAAACCUGGUCUCUAUUAAAAAACAACAACAACAAAAGAGCCGGGUGUGGUGGUAUGCACCUGUAGUCCCAGCUACAUAGGUGGCUGAGGUGGCCAGAUUGAUUGAGCCCAGAAAGUCAAGGCUUCCAUGAGCCAUGAUCACACCACUGCACUCCAGCCUGGGUGACGGAGCAAGACCCUGUCCCCCAAAAUAAAGUAUUAAUAAAGAGAAGUGUUAUUGAAAUAACAUUAAAGAAACAAAAUCAACAAUCACAUAUAAACAAUGAAAAUAAACUAACCUACAGGGGCAUAUGCCUGCAUUCUAUAUACCAAAAGAUGAUCAGAAAAUGCCUUUUUCUGUUUUGCAACAUUGUCCUCACUAGUUAGGUACUAAGUGUGACCCUUUUAAGGUUCAUCUUUAAGGGAGGAGGAGUGGCGAGUGUGAACACCUUUCAGCAUCUCACUCUCUGAUCUUCAGGGGUUGCUCUUAUUCUUAACGUGAAAACUGUACUCAGUAGAUAAGAAACAGACAAGGAGAAUAUUCCCGAAUCUCAGGAGUGCUCUGGACUGAAGGGCCAGCGUAUUUCCCCAUUAACAUGAUUGUUAAUAGCUGAGGAGUGAGCAAGGCCCAGCUGGCCCCUGAGUACCAAUUGCUUAGGAAACAAAUUGCAAAGAGAUCAGACCUUGGCUUUCAAUCAUUGCCUCGUCACAUGAAAUCAUUUCAUGCAUUCACUGGUCUCUGGACUGUUUCAUUUCCAAACUCAUUUGGAGAGUUUUAGUGUGCAGAUACUCUUCUCUGAGUAUCUUUCACUUAGGCACACCCUCUCCCUGGCAAUGAGAGAGAAUACUCUGUUAUAAUGCAGCAUAAAUCACCUGUGAACGUGCUAGAGAAAAUCAUUACAGAAUAGGUUGGUGUAAUCAAUAUAAUGAAAUAAUUCAAGCAGAUUAUUGACGCAGCAAACAUUUAUUAAGGACCUACUGAGUGCAAGGCCAUAGGGAUAUAAAGAUGAAUGUUACAUCCUGGGAUUCCCAGUAGCUCAUAGUGGGUUGAACCAGAGCCCUGGCAGGUCACGGACUGUAUCAUGACAGUAAGAACAGAAACGACAAGGUCCAAGAAGCCCACAUGGGAAUUCAGCUGUGCCACAUGCAGGCUGUGUGUCUCUGGCUAUGGGAAUCCAUUCUACCCUAGAGAGUUCUUCUUCCAAUUUAUAAAAUCAGGUACUAAGCUCAUUAACUUUCGGCCUUUCUUCUUUUCUAAUAUGCAAAGUUAAGGCUAUACAUUUCUCUCUAGUAGCCUCCAAUUUUUUUCAAUGACAUUUUUUAACAGCUUUAUUGAGAUAAAAUUCACAUACCAUACAAUUCAGCCAUUUGAAGUGUACAAUUCAUGGUGUUGAGUAUAUUCACAGAGUUAUGCAGCCAUCACCACAGUCAAUGUAGUACCUGCCUUGUAAGGCCAUUUUUGAGGAUUAAAUGAGAUAAUCUAGGUAAGCAGUAGACCCAAUGCCAGACACUUAGUGGGUGUUUCUCUGCUGGUUUUUGUUCAUGCUGCUGUGGUUGGUGCUGGGGCUGGCAUCAUGGAAGGCUGGAAGGAGUAGGUGAUGGGACCAAAUGAGAAGGAAAAGAAACAUGUGAGACCCACUGUCUGGGUGUCCUCUCCAGAUGGGAGUGACAGACUGUCAUUAUUAGCUGCUAGUGGAUUCUUUUCCGGCCCUCAUAUCGAGCCAAGUGAAUUCAGUUAACAGGAGUCAUUUGGGACUGGGUUGGGUGGGUUAAAUUCAGAACUGAUUAUCAUCAGGCCUGGUGGUCACAUACCAACAUGUUAACAAACAAACAAGCAACAACACGCUUAUCCGAUGAACAAUAGCUAUGCUAAAUUUAGCUCCUCUUGGCCAUCCGGGCUGGAGCCCAUGAGAGGCCAGACAUCUCUCUGGAUGCUUAUUUGCUAAAGCACUACAGCUGGCCCUCAGAGGGUACUUGGCCAAGCCCAAUGAGCUGCUCCGGAGGGGUGUUGCAAUCCUGAUGGGGAAAGGAUGGAGGACCUGGACUUUUCCAAUUUCAGUAGAGCCACGGCAUCACACACAGCACUGACGUGUGUUUGCAUCACCAGCACAAACACCACCAUUUCAUUUAUUUCAUUUGUUACCCUGGGCAGAGGAACAAUGCAUUCUUAAGUCUGACUGUUUUAAAUGGCAAACACGUUCUUGAAGCUGUCACUUCUAUGUACACCCAGAUAGCUGAGGACUGUGGUUUCAUUUGUACUGGGAUUGUGAUGACUUUCAUGUUGCAUGAAAACUUUGGCUAUAAUAUCACAGAUUCUCUUGGAAUUUCAAAUUAAUAGUUUCCUCUCUCUUUCUUUCUGGCACAAAAUGGCUGAACUGCAUGUUCUCCAGUCAAAAAGAAAGAUUACGUAAGCCAAAAACCUCCCCUCAUUUUCCGUAAGUCAUGCUUUUGUUUUAAUAUAGCAUUGAUCAUAUGCUUUAGUGGACAAGGGCACACAGAGGUGAUGCUUUGCCUCUAGUCUUCUGCAAAAUUGCAAUUUUAAAUCAUUCUUGUUUUUCUGUUAUCACCCCAAAAGUUUUUUAAGAGGCUGGUUUACGUGGCAUCAUUUUCUCUGCAUUAUUGCUGUCAACUUACCAAGCUCUCUGAGUCUGGGGACCUGAAAUCUAAAGAGGAAACUAAAGAGUUUGAGCUGACUUUUGUUUUACUUGGCAGUAAAUUAUACACAUAAGUUGGGUUUCUUUUUUUUUUUUUUUUUUUUUUGAGGUGGAGUUUCACUCUUGUUGCCCAGGCUGGAGUGCAAUGGCGCAAUCUCGGCUCACUGCAACUUCUGCCUCCCGGGUUCAGGCGAUUCUCCUGCCUCAGCCUCCCGAGUAGCUGGGAUUACAGGCAUGUGCCACCAUGCCUGGCUAAUUUUGUAUUUUUAGUAGAGACAGGGUUUCUCCAUGUUGGUCAGGCUGGUCUCGAACUCCCGACCUCAGGUGAUCCAUGUGUCUCAGCCUCCCAAAGUGCUGGGAUUACAGGCAUGAACCACCACACCCAGCAAGUUGGGGUUCUAUAGAUCAUUCAUUUUUAGACCAACUGAGUGUGAUUUUGCCUGCUUGGAGACAUUUUUGGUUGCCACAACCAACAAUGGGUGGGAAGAGAUGGUGCUGCUGGCAUUUAAUGGGUAGAGGCCAGUGACAUUGCUAAGUGUGAUACAAUGCCCAGGACAGCAGCUCUCCCUUGCCUCAACAAAGAUGUACCCAGCCCCAAAUAUUUGUAGUGCUGAGCUUUAGAUUGAGUUGUGUAUCAGACUAGAGGAUGUCUACGGAGAUUUGGGGCAAAGGCCUUGACUGUCUAUUUGCUAUCCUUUGUCUCAGAGCCUUAGCUUGAUGAAAUUUAGUCUUGUAGACAGGCUGUAUGGUCCAAUGUUCAGAGCAUAGACUUUGAAUCCAAGAGGCCUGGACCUAGGCUGAAAGAUACCAGUGACAAAACUCACAGAUCUCAGCCAUUUUCUUAUACACAAACUAUAUCAGCAGAUAAAAGGAAACAAGGCCUGGGAAGACAGAGGGAACAUGUGGUGAGGUCAGCUCCCUGGUACUUGGGACCUCCUGUGCCCACGCGACACCUCUGUGUGCCUAGACAGGGGAGCCCACACUGUCCAUAGGCUCCAGGCAUGUGCAGCCCCCAUGGGGAAGACACCAUUGCAGUAGGACAGCACCUGGAUUUUGGUGCCACUUUCUGCUUCCACCAGGAGGUCACACCAGGGGGCCUUGCUCAGUUCCUCUUUCUGCUCCUCGUGGGUUGUGCCCAGGAAGGGGGAUGAUGACAACAGCCAGGCCCAAAUAUCCCCAAAUUAAGGGGUAACUGGGCUUCAGCAGCAUCUACUCCAUCCCCCAAGAUCCCCACUGCUGCUUCUGGGACCUGCUUAUCAGCAUCCACAAGCUCAGUCACUAAGUAAGGCUGUCACUCUGCUACUUGGAAAACCACAUCUCUUGGGCCUUUUGUCCAAAUCUGGGAUCUCAAAAUUCUUUCUGGGCCAUAGCUGCACCGGGUCACUAUUCUACACCUAUGUCACAGGCUGUGAAAUCUUCUAUAUUGGAGCCAGCUUUGUAGGAUUUCAGAAUGUUCCACUUCUGUUGGCUCAGGGGCUUUGCAGGGGCAUGGGAGGGAGUUAGAGAGGUACCACCAAGUCCAUUUCCUGAGUUUAAAUACCCACCCCACCGAACUGGGGUUGUGACCUUCAGCAAGAUUGUGUUCUAUUUUAGUUUGUUUUAAACUUCUUCAAGUCUUCAUUGUCUCAUCUGUAAAGUGAGGAUCACAAUGGGAUCCCACUUCUAAGGUAGGUAUGAAAAUUAAAUGCAGUCCUGAAUGCCACGUGCUUAGCUCAAGUCCCAGCUAAAUGGAGGCUACAGAGGACAUUGGGUGAAACCACACCUUUCUUAUCUUGUUGAUGGUCCCAACAACCUUGGGUGGGGCAGCCUCUUUUGUCUCCCUCAUUGGGCAGUUACAGAAAGCUACACCUGAGAGGUCACACAUCUAGGAAGUAGAAGAACCUGAACUAGAACCCAGGACUCUGGAUCUUCCCAGGCUCUGGCCUCCACUGAAGGUGUGAAAGUCAAUAGCAAUUAGGUGGCUGCCCCAUUCAUUGACAUCAGGGCACUGGAAGGUCUGACUCUCCUCCUCUUCCUUCACCAGACAAAAGAGUCUCCUCUCUCUCUCUCCUACUGGCCCUGAAUAGCUCAUAUUGUCUCUUUUGGAUUAAGACACUGGAGACAAAUCUUAAAUGCACAUUUCAUUUGGAAGCCAGAAACAGACAUAUAAUAACAAUAGUUGUUAAUGAAAGGACUUAGCAUUCAUUUCUUCACUAUUUCUGGCACACCUACUGUGAGCCAGCCACGGUGCUGUUCCCUACCCAUGUUUUGGCUUACUGACUCCUUCCUGUCCUUGGUGGGUAAUGCACAUUGCCAUCCUUCCCAUUUCACAGAUGAGGAGAGAGAGGCUCAAAGAGGUACUUGAGCAAGACCAUAGUCAGGAGGAGAUAUGCUGUAUUGAAGAGGACUCAACUGGCCUCUGAAAGAAACUUUGAAUUGCUGACGUGUGUCAGAAAAUAAAAGAAGUUGAUUUUCAUAAUAUCUGUCUCUUAAAAAAAUUCCAACUUUCUGAGAGCAGAGUAUGAUGUUUGCUUUCUACUAUCCUUUUCCUCGUACCCCACCCCCAAAGUGUGCCAAACCUCCUUACUUGCAGAAGACAAUUUUGGAUUCUUACAAAAAGCAGCUUCACAGAAGCCAUGGGAGAUUUUUGCACAAAGCAUUUGCCUAAUUGGACCCUGUUCUAUUUUCUGACCUGUUGCUCCUUGAAGUAUCAUCUUAAAGAUGCUCUCCAGAAAGUGUCCUGAGCCUACAUUUUCCCUUGGCUGAAAGACUCAGGUUCUCUCUGAAGAUAUGUUAUACUGCUAUACUUAACAUUUAUUUUAAAUAGUGGAGAAAGAAAGAAAUCUGAAGACUGUAAACUGUCUAAAUAAGAGGAGAAUUACACAGAUAAGCAGAUAAUACAUCGGUUCCUAAAUACCGGUUGCGAAAGAUUAUAAUGAACAGAAAACAUUUAAUCCACCACAUGAAGCAAGAGGGUGACCCCAGAGAGGUUGUCUGAGGUUUCCUUGGGGGGAAGCCCAGCCAGUGUUAAAAAUGAUGUCUAUGAGAAUGACAGACCUUCCAGCAAAUGUGCUCACCACUUCUUAAGGUGAAAGAGAAAGAAAAACACUGAAAAAAAUUACAUAUGUAUUUGAACAACAAAUAUAUAUGGAAUAUCCACUCUGUACCAGCUAGGACUCAGGCAGUAAACAAAACAGACAAAGUCCCUGGCCUUAUAUUUGGGUGGGGGGAUAAGGGAAAGAAAGACUAGAGAAUAAAGCAUACUAUUGCAGGAGAUGGCUUUGCUAAGAAUGAAAAUGAGCUAUCAGCCCAUAGACUUGUGUCUAAUGCAACCAUCUGACAAAGGAGGCACAAAGCUAACUUGAACUUUGACCUGUUGCUAGUCCACAUUUUCCCCAGCCCCUGCUGUCUCAGAAAGCUCUGUUUCCCAGAAUCAGUGUCCUUUGGCAAUUCACCAUCAUUACAAACUCUUCUAUAUCAGAGCUGCCCAGUGUAGAAUCCCGGCCCUUGUCCUUGAUCUCUCAAAACGAAUACAACAAAAACCAGCCACAGAAAUGAAUAAGUGAAACAAAACGUAAGAACAGGUCAUACAAGGAUACGUUUGUAUGCAUCAGUCUUCUCUGAUGAUUUCGAAUGAAAAUGAAGAUUAAGUGAGAGCAGCAUGUGACCACGAACCCCAAAUGGGACAUCAGACAGUUAAAAGCCCUUCAAUCACAUCUCCCAUGGGCCACCCACCACAUCACUCAAGAAACGUCCCUCCUUGCCCCUCCACCAUGCCACUACACACACACAUACUGUGUUUCUCUGUUUUCAGUUUUGUUCGCCAUUAUUCCUUCUCUUGGGCUCUCUCCAGAAACCCAGCAUCUUUCUCUUUUCUUUGAGAGCAAAUUCGACCUCUCUCCUGUCAGAGCCACCUGCAUAUACCUGAAGAAUCAGGCUCUCUGAUGACUAGCAGGUUUCUAGUCGGGCCCUACCCUUUUCUGCAGGCGGAAGGUAAAUUUUCCUUUAUCUUUUCUCCACCAGUCUCUGGGAGGUGGAGGAGGAGGGAAGAAGAGCAGAGUGAUCUAUUGUAACAUCGACAUAUAAAUAAUGCCACUUCAUUUAGAACAUAAACGUGGCGAUGGUCGGUUUUGGUUUAACGUAGCUCUUCAAAAUAGCUCCUCUCUUCCUUCACAUGAGUAUCUGGGUGAAGGUAGGUGAGCAGGAAACAGUCAAGACUAUGUUAAGAAUUUGCAUAUGGCUAACAAUACCGUACUGUGUAUUUGUUAAGAUGACCGAUCUCAUGUUAAGUGUUCUUACCACAAUAAAAACAUCCAAACAAAUAAAUAAUAAAAGAAUUUGCCUGCUCUAUGAAACAGUUUGCAAGCUGUUGCUAGGGGCAGCCUUAUUUAUCUGUAUGUAAAUUUAAGAUGGGGGUCUGCACUGGAACCAGAGGGGAAAGGAGUGUCUAAUCUCACUCUGCAGAGAAUGGGGAAAACAUGUAAUUAUGCGUGUUUCAGACUAGAUGGGAUACAGAGCCCUAAUGUCCGCAUCUUACAGAGGGCCAGCGUAGUUUACCCAUCAUCACAAACCACAGAGCUACCCUGGGGGAGCCAAGGAAAACCAGGAUUUCUGACCCUGGACUCAGUCCAAGAGAGACAUGCAGAGUUGAGCGUCCCAAUUUUGCACACUCAAUCUAUCUUCAUAGAUAAAGUAAUAGAAACAACAAUUAAACAGAGAAAAAUUAUCAUUAAACAUCACCCGCCAUGUGGCUUCUGUUAAAACAAACAAACAAACAAAAAACUCUUGAGAUAUACCCUCUUUUCAGUUCCUUGAAAACUUUUGGAUACUCUCUGCCUUGGGACACCUGUGUUUCCUGUUCCCUCCACUUGGAUCAUUUUUGCUCUGAGUCCUUGAGUGCAAGGCUGCUCCUUCUCAUUGAGAUAUUGCUCAAAUGCCACCUUUCAGAGAAGCCACCUCUGGCUACUUUCUCUACAGAAGAAGUAACCUGCCUGCCUGGCUCAUACGAACUCUCUAACCCACUAUUAUGUUCACUUAAUUUAUUACACAUUUCCCUGUUUGGAAUCAUCUUCUUCAUUGGUUCAUUUGUUCAGUAAUUUAUUCAUUUGAGUGAUGUUUUCCAAGCUCUAUGCUAGGUUCUAGGGAAACAGCAGGGAGCAAAACCCUCUGGCCUCAAGGAGCUGAGGUUCUAUUGGGACACGAUAGACAAUGCAUCCUACGGACUACAUAGAGGGUGAUAAGUGCUUGGGGGAAAUGAAAGCUGGGGGAGGUAGGGAGUGCUGGUGUGGAGUGGUUAAGGAAGGUGGUUUUGGGGAUCUUGGGGGAGGAAGAACAUUCCAGGCAGAGAGAACAGCAAGUACAAAGGCCCUGAGGCAGGGGCAUGUGGGGUGAGGAGGUGAGAAUUGAUGGUGAACAGGAAAGCUAGAGUAGUUGGUCAGGGUGAGCAGGUGGGUAGGGGGUGUUGACAGAGAAAGCGUGUGCAGAUUGUGUAGGGCCUUGUUAAUCAGUGCAGACUGAUGCUUUUAUUCGGAGCGAGUUGAGGCAAUUGUAGUAUUCUGAGCAGAAGAGAGGCAUGAUCCAGCUUGUAUUUUAGUUUUUCUGGGAUUUUGUCUUGUUUUUUGUUUUUUGGAGAUGGAGUCUUGCUCUGUCACCCAGGCUGGAGUGCAGUGGCGAGAUCUCGGCUCACUACUGCCUCCACCUCCCAGCUUCAAGUAAUUCUCCUGCCUCAGCCUCCCGAGUAGCUGAGAUUACCAGUGCCCACCACCACGCCUGGCUGAUUUUUGUAUAUUUUUUUACUAGAGUUGGGGUUUCACCGUGUUGGCCAGGCUGGUCUUGAACUCCGGACCUCAAGUCAUCCUCCCACCUCGGCCUCAGGAAAACAUGUAGGAGGCUCUGGCUUUUCCCCAGGCAGGAGAGGGCACAGGCAGGCAUCAGGUUGGUAGUGUGUGUACACACACACAUACAUACUUACACAAAAGAGUGAAUUUGUGUCCAUGUAUUCUGCUUGAGUACUGCUCCUCUGACUUGACAAUAUGUCAGCUGCAUCUUUCCAUAUCAAUAAAUGGGGAGCUAUAUCAUAAUUUUAGUGUGCUCGUAUUAUUCCCUUGCAUGGAUGUACCAUAAUUUAGCUGGUCCUGAAUUAAACACUUCGGCAGUUUCACAUUUUUCACCGUGAUAAAAAAAAUCCUGCAGUGAACAUUUUUGAACAUAUAUCCCUGAGGACUUGCUUGUCCAAGUACAUCUUUGAGAUAGAUUCCUAGAAAUAGAAUUGUUAGGUCACAGUCUAUAAGGGGCUGAAGGAUUUUGAUGCAUAAUGCCAAAUUGCCUGGGAGAAAAUGUGUACCAAGCACAUCCCCACCAGCUGUGUUCCUGUUUCCUUAUCUCAUUUUAAGUAUCAUCACUGUUUUUAUUCAUUGCUAAGUUGAUAGAUUAAAAAAUAUGGUAUUUCUUCCAUUUGACCCAGCAAUCUCAUUGCUGGGUAUAUACCCAAAGGAAUAGAAAUCAUUUUAUUAUAAAGAUACAUGCAUGCAUAUGUUCAUGGCAGCACUAUUCACAAUAGCAAAGAUAUGGAAUCAACCCAAAUGCCCAUCAAUGAUAGACUGAAUUUUAAAAAUGUGGUACAUAUGCACCAUGGAGUAUUAAUGUAGCCAUAAAAAGGAACAGGAUCAUAUUCUUUGCAGGGGCAUGGAUAAAGCUGGAAGCCAUUAUCCUAAGCAAAGUAAUGCAGGAACCAAACACCACAUGUUCUUACUUAUAAGUGAGAGCUGAACAAUGAGAACAUAUGGACACAGGGAGGGGAACAACAUACACUGGGUCCUGUUGGGGGAGAUGUUGGGGAUGGGAGGAGCAUCAGGAAAAAUAGCUAAUGCAUGCCGGGCUUAAUACCUGGGUGAUAGGUUGAUGGGUGCAGCGGACCACCAUGGCACACAUUUACCUAUGUGGCAAACCUGCACAUCCUGAGCAUGUACCCCAGAACUUAAUUAAAAAAUAUAUAGUAUUUUUUGUUGUUAUUUAUUGCCAUUUCAUAGCUUUACCCAUAUUUUAUUUGGGCUAUUAGCCUUUUAUUAGUAUUUAAGAACACUUUAUUAAAAACAUAUUACCAUAAAUGUUGCAAAAUUGUAAGGAUUUUUUCAUAUAAUCUUUUUAUUUUUUGUUUUGGGAAGCUAUGAAAUAUUAUAUGCAUAUAAAAAUAUAUAACACACUUAUGAAAGAUACAAAAAAUAAACACCGUGUACUCCUGACCCAGCUCAAAGAAUGGAACAUUUCCAACACCCCGAUUGCAUUCUCUUUUCCCCCCAGCCAAACUAAUUACUCGAUGGUGAUGAUUCCCUUACUGUUCUUUAUAGUUUUGCCUAAACUGUAAAUCUUCAUAAACAGCCUAGUUUUAGUUGUGCAAUGUUUCGAGCUUUAUGAAAAUAAAAUCGCACUUUAUGUAUUUGUCCAUGACCUGCUUUUUUUUCAAACAAUAUUAUGUGUGUGAGCUUCCUUCAGAUGGAAGCCUAGCUGUGGGUCAUCUCUCCCAGUGCAGCUUUGUAAAAAUGUCUCUAGAAGUGUGAUUUCUGAGUCUCCAGAAAUGCAUAUCUUAAAAUAACCCAGCUCAUGCCGAAUUAUUUUCCAAAGUGGUUUUUACCAGUCUAUAGUUUGUUCGGUACUAUAUGAAGCUUCCAAUUUUGUUCACAUCCUUGCCAAGGCACGUUAUUGUCUGACUUUUAAUUACUUUCCUAAUCUAGUGUAUAUGAACACUAGAUUGUAUGGGAGUAGAUAAGGAACAUUUCUUAUUAUAAAAAAAGGCAAGGUCUUAGAAGAAGUGGUUACAUUUUUAAAAAUACGGAUUUUUAAAAUAUUUGUUUUACUCUUCCUAGAAUACUAGGAAGGCAAACUAACUUUCUUUCAUUAGGCUAGAAGUGAAUAGAACUUCAGUUAAAAAUCAAGGUAAUUUUAAGGUCAGAAAAACAAGCUAUCUGGGGGACAAUGUGCCAGAAGAGAUGGUUACACUAUUAAAAAACCAAAUGCUCUCCUCUUUGGGCUUGUGGAUAAGAUCGGUGUUAGAAUGCGCUAUCAAAACAAGUAAAAAGGAUUCCUGAACUAAUUUCUUCUGAAUCAACAUUUAAAAACAUUCAAUUUGCUCUCAAUGUUCAAUUCCCAUUUAUAAGUAAGAACAUGAGGUGUUCGGUUUUCUGUUCCUGCAUUAGUUUGCUGAGGAUGAUGGCUUCCAGCUUCAUCCUUUGGUGCAGAAAGGAAAUGGGUAGACCAAUAGGUAAAGAAAUGUGUUUUCUCACAUUUUAGGAAGUGCUUCGUGAUCGAUACGCAUCAAAUGAGACCAUUCAAGGUGUGCACAUAGUCUAGAUUGAGUAUAGAUUCUUUAUAUGUAGAUUUCUUUGAUAAUGUCAUUUUACUUUACACUUAUGACAGGUUCAUGAAAGUGAGAAACGUUCUAAGCACUGCAGAAUAACUGCUCAUCCUUUCCUUUUUGCUUUUUUUUUUGGGUGUGUGGCAAUAAUCUUCAUGUACGCUGGCAGGCCAAACAUCUGGCUCAUGUGUGUGGGAAGCCAGUUGCUCUUGUACUACACAUUUCAGCUGAGAAGUACUGAGCCUGCUGACAAAAUGCAUAACCUAAUUAGGCGUGAACUCUAACGCAAUCGGUGCUUGUUUUUGCAGGUGUAAAACGCCACUCUCAAUCUAUUGUGUUUUCUUCCCAGGUCUAAAAGCAUCACAAAUUAGUAGGUUUGGAAAGCCAGGGAUUUCACAGGCAAAAGUUGAUUGCAUAGAUGCUCCCGGGUUCAUUAACACCGAACAUAAGCCUUUCUGAGAGCAACCGUGGGCUUUGUGUUUGAAACAAUAUGGUGGUGUAGUCAUAAUAACACGGGAAUUCCAGACAGGAGACAUGGAUUCUAAACUCCUAUAAAUGAGUUCUGUGACUUUAAACACGGCCCUUCCUGUCCAGGCUGGCAUUUUCUCACUUGCAGAGUGAGGGAGUUGGACAUUUUCACUAAACAUAUAUUUGUUAGCAUUUGCUGUGUACCAGGAGCCAAAGUAAAAAUUAUAAAGCAUGGUGUCUGUUCCUUAGGAUGUCCACAAUUUGGAGAGGGGUGACAAAGAAGAAUCGGACAGCUCCAAUAUGGUGAGACUAGCAGAGGGUGUGGAUGCCACAGAGCAAAGCUGCUCCUAGCCCAGUUCAGAAGCUGGGAAAUGCUUCUCAUGGAGGUGGAACUGCUACAGGGCCAUGGAGGAUGAAGAGGGACUAGUUAGGAAGACUGGGAAGGGGAGAAUGUUGUAUGACAGAAGUAUGUGCAAAGGCACAGCAGUGUGAGAAUACAGUGCUACCUGUGUCAUAUCUGAGGUCCUGUGGUACUUUUAAAACAUGUUCCCAAAUUCUUUGACACUCUUCCCAUGGACAGGUGGGAGUCAUGUCCCCUCCCCUGAAUCAAGGCAGUGUUGUAAAGAGGGUGAAACUGAUGCUAUGUGAGACUAGGUCAUGAAAGGUUCAGCAGCUUCUACGUUGUUCAUGGGGACAUUCACACUUAGAGGCCAAGCAGCCAUGUUAGAAAUCCAGCUAUCCCUAGUCCGCCAUACUGGGAGGAAGCCCAAGCCAGUCACAUGGAAAGGCCAUGCGUAGGUGCUCUGUUUGGAAAUCUCAGCUAAGCCCCCAGCCUUUGUAUUGAUUUUGCUCAGGCACCAGAUAUAUGAGUAAAGAGACUCUCCAUUAUUUCAAUGGCAAAUGAUUUACAUCCUGCCUGCUAAAGCCCCUGACAUAAUGAAGCAGAGACAAACCAUCCCCACUCUGCUGUUUCUAAAUUCCUGACCGACAGGAUCCAUGAGCACCAUGCAGCAGUUGUUGUUCUACACCAUUAAACUUUGAGGUGGUUUGCUACACAGCAAUGAAGGAUGGGAAUGGGUCUGUUUCAGCUCUAAAAGUUGAUUAUUCGGUAAAACUCCAAAACUAAUUCCUGUUCUUCAAAAAGAAAGCUCUGAUUAUGUGAACUUUUGAAUUAAAGAAAAACAGUUGCAGAAGGAUCAAGACAGAGAUUGAAUUAUUCAGAGAAAUUAUCGUCAACAAACCCAAACUGGUUGAAAUUGCAAAAUGAAUUUAUCGACCCACAAAAUCAGGAAGUUCCAGGUGUGAAUCUAGUACUACAAGAUUCAAGCAUUCAAGAGAUGAUUAGAAACCAGUCCUCUCCAAUUCUGCAUUCUGCUUUGCUCCGUGCUGUCUUCAUUGUCAGGCAGGCACUCCCCAAGGGGAAGCCAGAUGGCCAGACCAGCACCCACUGAGCCCCAGAAGAAAGGGAGUCUCUUUACGAUCAUUUCAGCACAUGUCCCAGGCCUGUCUGCUGUUCCCUCACUUCCAUAUGUAUGAAUUCCAUACCUAUGGCUGUGGCCAUGGGAAAAGAGGUCCCUGAUUGGCCAGGUGGGGCUGCAUUUCUACCUGUUGAGCCAGAAACAGUGUCUAUGAAUCCUGAAUGUUGAAAGAAAUGAGGUUCUCAGUCUUGUAUUAUCAGAAACAGAAAUGAAUACUAAGUGAAAAAAAAAACAGAUACCCCUUAGGCAGAAACUUCUUCUUCUGCCCACAGCUGUCCGUUUGGCAUAACCUGAUACUACUCGGGCUUCCUAGAACUAUCCCUUUUACAGGUUUAAUUAACCCCAAAGCAGCAAAAAAGCAGUUAUGCCUUCAGUACAGGUUCAUGAAAGAUAUUUUCUAGACUUACAGAGUUUGGAGAUUCCUAAUAUUUAACCAUCCCUUCCAUUAUUCUCUUUUGCUGUUAAUAAAUAUUUCUGAAUUUUACUGAUUAGUUCCUUUAUACACAUGUUUAUUCAGUAAUAAAAAUGGAAAUAGCAUGCCCAAAUUACCUUCAAAAUAAGCCAAUUGUUAAAAAGCAGGAAGUAUUUAGUUUCAUGGAUCUUAUGCUAAUCAUUACGUUUUACUCAAAUAAUACAAUAUAAAGCCCCCAAGCUCUAUAAAUACACUCAUUUUCCACAUGUUCUUUUGCUUCAGAAUCUUAAUGUUGAAUCUCACCAUCAACUUCGGGAUUCUAAGACACAUAUAUAUGAGAUCCGGGAUUUUUUUCUUGGGGUCAAUCAAUAAAAUGGAGCAGAAAGAAACAGAAUCAGCAAGACAUUCAAAACUUGCUUUUUACAUGAUAGAUAAAAGAUGGAAAAGAAACAGAGAUCUAAGGAAGGAAAAAGACAACUAACAUCACAGAAACAAUAUUAUGAGAGUUAAAAAAAAAGUUGAUGGUGAGAUUCAACAUUAAGACUUUGAAGCAAAAGAACAUGUGGAAAAUGAAUAUAUUUAUAGAGCUUGGGGGCUUUAGUUGUAUUAUUUGAGUAAAACAUAAUGAUUAGCACAAGAUCCAUGAAACUAAAUAUUUCCUGCUUUUUAACAAUUGACUUAGUUUGAAGGUAAUUUGGGCAUGGUAUUUCAACUUUUAUUACUGAAUAAACAUGUCUAUAAAGGAACUAAUCAGUAAAAUUCAGAAAUAUUUAUUAAUAGCAAAAAAGAAGAAACUAAGGGAUGAUUAAAUAUUAGAAAUAUUUAUUAACAGCAAAAAAGAAAAAAAAAAUCGAUGGUUAAAUGUUAGGAAUCUCCAAACUAUAAGUCUAGGAAAUAUUUUUCAUGAACCUGUACUAGAGGAGGCAUAACCAAAACAACAACAACAAAAAACAUGUUUCCCCUUCCAGAAUGCCCCCUAGUGAACCCAAAAUUACCAGCAGGAAAGAAAGGGCCUAACCCUGGAACUGAAACUAUGUAAUCUAUGCUUGUGUGAUUCCUCAGCCUAAUUCUGGGGUCUUCCUCAUUCCAGGGUUCUCAGAAUUCCAUCCACGGAAUGGGGAACAUUGACAUUGCCAAUGACAUUGAAGGAUCAUCUGUUUACCCACUGUGACCACCAUCACUUCUCUUACAUGAGGAAGAGGCUCUUGUUCUCUUUAAAGAUGAUAAGGUUGAUUGAGAUAGAAGUCACUCAGUCUUAGAAAGCUCUCAACCAUUCCCCUCCCCGGCAUAGCCUUGUCCUUGCACCAUCUCCAGGAAGGCAAUGUCUCUCCCUUUCUUGUUGGGUUAUCUCUUCUUUGUUGUGUUGUUGGAUCCACCAUCAUUUGGGAAGAGAAGAGGGAUAGGGUCAAAAGUUGCUGUCAUCUUGCUCAGACUCCUUAUUAAGACAUUCUGGGAGGGAGGAAAGAGAGACUUCUAUGCCUUUCUGGAAGUUUCCUUCAGCUGCCAUCUGGGAUGUCUCAGAAGAUCAAGUUGUCACUGGGGUAGGUCCAGAAAAAUCCAGGCACAGUGAAAAGUUCUCCCGGACUUUUUUUUUUUUUUUUUUUUUUUUUGACACAGGGUCUCACUCUGUCACCAGGCUAAGUGCAGUGGCAUGAUCAUGGCUCACUGCAGCCUUGACCUCUUGGGCUCAAGCAAUCCUCCUGCCUCAGCUUCCUGAGUAGCUGGGACUACAGAUGCAUGCAACCAAGCCCAGCUAAUUUUUGUAUUUUUUGUAGAGACGGGGUCUCACUAUGUUGCCCAGGCUGGUCUUGAACUCCUGAGCUCAAGUGAUCCACCUGCCUCGAUCUCCCAAAGUGCUGGGAUUACAGGUGUGAGCCACUGUGCCCGACCCUCCUUGGAUCUUGUGGGGAGCUUGUGAAGGUGAAUUUCUAGAUUCUCCAAAUGUUAGAAAGAGGCCAGGAAAGGGGGACACUGCAGUCUUGGAAGAGGAGCCCAGAUUCAACAGAUGCUCAGCAGUGAGAGGAAAUAAAUUAGCCCUUUCUUCUUGUUUAUGUCAUGUCUUUCUCUCUGUGCCUCCACUGUAGAAUGCUUUUAUCUAUAAAUGUGUUUUUCAAGUUAGAAAUUACAGAGAUCCAGAUGUUCCUAAGGAGUCUUCUCCAUUUGGUUUCUGUUUUGGUCACAAAGAUGGAUGUUUUAUAUUCAGAUCUGUUUCCUUGCUAGUCAUAAGCUGAUGGAUAAACUUGGAGUUCACACUACCCAGAAUGACUUGUCUAUGACAGCAUCUUAUUAUCAUGGCUUUAAUUAGGGACUGGCAUUUGUGUGGUGGUGAAUUUUCUCCAGAUCUUAUUCCUGGAGAUACCUUAAUGAUACCACUGCCCCAUGAAUUGCACUGGCUUCCUGUCUGUUUCUCAAUCUUGCCAGGGCCUUUCCUACCCCAGGACCUUUCCUCAUGUUGUUCCCUCUGCCUGGAACAUUCCUGUCCAGCAACUCAGGCAACUCAUGCUCUUCCUUCAAAUAUCAGUUCAGGGGCUGCCUACUGGGGUUGCUCUGUUGGUAUACAUUCCCUACUCCAUCCUAUUCCAUAUAGCUCUUAGGAGGAUUCAAAUGCUUAAACAAAUCUUUAGACAUACACUUGAUGGGUAUUAGCUCUAAUAAUGUUUGCUAUAUUAUUAGUUAGGAUAAGUGAUGUUAGUUUCAUCAACAAAUAAAUCCCCACGUCUCAAGGGCCUAACACAAUAAAUUUAUUCUGCACUCAUCUUACAAUCCGUUGUUGGUUCAAUGCAGGGGCUGUACUCCAUGUAGACAUCAGGGUUCCAGGCCCCUUCCACUGUGCGGUUCCAUCAUCUAGGCCCUCAGGGUGUACCAUCAAACUGUUUGCAUCAACUGGCAGUUGAGAGAAGAGAGGGUAGAAAAUUCUGCAAGAGGUUUCACAGGCCAACCUGGAAGUAGUGGGUGUCCUGUCUUUCCUUCGGAAAAAGUUUAGCAGUUUGUUGUAAAAAUAAAUAUACACUUACUAUGUUACAAGUCAAUCCCACUCUUGGCUACCUACUCCAGAAAAAAGAGAAAAAAAAAAAAAAACGGCCCCACCCGGUUACCGGGGUAGAGUUAUAUAGUCCAGCUGUUUGUCCAGGAAGAAGAGGAGGACCAUGGUUGUUGGUGAAGCACUAAGCUUUUCUGCCAUAUUAUUACGAUUAUAAUAGUUAUUCCCAAGUCCCAUACAGCAUUUUAACAACCCACCUAAAAAGUACCCUACCCUUGCAGAUUCCCUUCUUGCUCAUCAAGCUUCUCGGCCUAAGGUCAUAUUUCUUCAGAAUUUUGAAUCAUAAAGCACAGUGAAGUGUUCAUCACAUAAGGUAAUAGCUAUUUCUUCUUAAGUCAUUUUAUCUGAGUUAAUGGCUACUAAUGGGUUAAUAUAUAAUUGUCCAUAGGACUAUUUGCAUUUUGAAAUAAGACUCAUGGAGAAAAGAGAAACUGAGUUAGAGGGAGGAGAUAUUCGGGCUUUUGGCAGGUGGCAGCCUUGUCCUUUCAGGUAAAAUCCAAGGAGAGGCCUUGGUGGCAAUUUGUUCUUUCUUCUUUCCUUUCCAGGUGUAAUGGUAACUUCUGGGUAGGGAAGGCUGCCUCUUUGCCUCCAUGAACUGAGACUUUCUACUGCCCACACUGUAGCCUCCUUUAUUCUCCCCUCUGCAGACUGCUAAGAGAGAGCUCUUUGGCAUACAAAAUAGGCCUCGGACUUCCUUAUCAGGGUGCUUUCUUUCAUUUCAUAGAGCCCUCCCCGGCCAGAUAUUCAUGUCGCAGAUGUAUGAGCUCCUGCAGUCAUUAUCAAUCACUGAAUGCUUAACAAAUAUUUAAUGAAUGGCUUCUAUGAGCAAGCGAGACGUGACAUUCUGUAAUGGUGGUUGGGGCGGGGGGUGGGGGUGCAUGCAUUUUUGGUUUCGUUUAUUUCAUUUUUGGAGUUUAUGAAAUGUCUUAACUGUUAAGUCACAGAAAAGGUUUCCCACAUAAAAAACAUAAAAAUCUGUUCUAUCUGAUCUGCUUUUAUGCAUUUUUCUAAGCCCCUGGUUUUCUAAUUAGGGGGAAAGAAGAGGAAGUUUUAUUCUCAUACCCAUUAUGGCAUGUGACCAUGGUUCAAUUAUAUUUUUCUUUUGGCUGGAUAAGGGUAAUGAAUAGAUCUUUAUCAAAUAAUUUGAUAGACAUUGUUAUAUCCAGCAACUUUUGCUAAUACAAUGCACUUGGAAUCUCAUCUGUGUUUGAAGUUUGCACCGACAUCUGCAGAAACUCAGAGAGAAGCUCCCUAGGGAUCAUCUCUGGUAUUUAUGACCUGCAUCUCCACGUCGUUUUGCAGAAGUGAAAGCUGCACUCGACCAUUCCUUUUGUUGGUAACUCAAGCCAACAGCCCCUAAUGGCUGAUUGGAUGAAGGAGCAAUAACAGCCUCAAUAUAGUGGGGUGAGGUUCUGAAAUCAAAGACUGAUGUAAAAGUGGCAAAUGGUCAAAAUACAGCCCCUUAAAUUGUCCAUGCAAUAAAUUAUGAUGUCCGCCCAGAAUUGGAACAGCUCAUUAUUUUACGGCUAAGCACCAGAUAAAAUAGUAGGGGACUUGCAGGCUAGGUCAUUCUUGCAUUGCUAUAAAGAAAUACCUGAGACUGGGUAAUUUAUUUAAAAAAAAAAAGGUUUAAUUGGCUUACGUUUCUGCAGGCUGCACAGGUAUGACACCAACAUCUACUGAGCUUCUGCGGGAAGCCUCAGGAAGCUUACAAGCAUGGCAGAAGUUGAAAGGAGAAGCCAGGCUGGACACGGUGGCUCAUGCCUGUAAUCCCAGCACUUUGGGAGGCUGAGGCGGGUGGAUCAGGAGGUCAGGAGUUCGAGACCAGCCUGACCAACAUGGUGAAACCCCGUCUCUACUAAAAAUACAAAAAUUAGCCAGGUGUGGUGGCAUGUGCCUGUAAUCCCACCUACUCAGGAGGCUGAGGCAGGAGAAUUGCUUGAACCGGGAGGCAGAGGUUGCAGUGAGCUGAGAUUGCGCCACUGCACUCCAGUCUGGGCAACAGACCAAGACUCUGUCUCAAAAAAAAAAAAAAAAAAAAAGAAGAAGAAGAAGAAGAAAGGGGAGAAGAGGAGAAACCAGUGUCUCAAAUAGUGAGAGAGGGAGUUGGGGGGCGGGUUGCCACACUUUUAAACAACCAGAUCUCAUGAAAACUCACUCACUAUUGGGAGGAUAGCACCAAGCCACAAGGGAUCCAUCCCUAUCACCCAAACACCUCCACUAGGCCCUACCUCCCUCAUUGGGGAUUAUAAUUCAACAUGAGAUUUGGCAGGGACAUAUAUUCAAACUAAUCAAAUGUGUUUCAUGAUCUUUUUUUAGAUAUAUAUUUUUAUGUGUGUAGUCAAAUAUAGUCAGCCCAGCAAGACGGAGGCUCACAGAAACGGAGUUUCAUAAAGGAAUGGCAUCUUCAGUUCUGUCGUCCAGUACUGGGUUUAUGCAUAUUGAAUGGAAUUAUGGGAAGAAUGACUUGCACCAAUCAGAAUGUUCCAUCCAUCUACUGGUCUAUGUCAUAGUUUUAUACAACUGACAUCAGCCAAAAUAAAAGUUGCACGGUGUGACUUCCA